AACUGCAUAGCUUUCUGCUGUUGCAUAGCAACAUUCAUUAUUAUUAUGUAACUGGUACAACAAACCAAUGCUUGUAAACAAAGAAGCAGCAGUACCGUACAGUACAACACAGACACCACCGCGACCUGCGCAAACAACUAUCGCCUGCAAGAUCGUGAUAACUGAGAUGGAACUCAACACAAAGACCAGCUACAAAUAACUUGGGACACCUCAUGCCCACAUCAACUCUGAUGCACCUCCUUCCUUGUUGGGGGGAGCCCAAACCCUAUUUUCCAUUCCAUGGAUAUCGCAUUCGUCAACUUGAUCAGGGGGGGCCGACCUUUCGGAGUCUGCAUCAGGGUCCAGGGGGCACCCGGGUAGCGGUAACAUAUAUGCCAUGUUACUAUUAAACCUUUUGCCAUGUGAAUGUUAAAAAACUCUUAUAAAUUUUCUGAUCCGUUUUGAAACAACUUUAUCUAAGUUUUCCUCCCUAGAUUACAUUGUGACUAGUUCCUCCUAUAGCAGCACCGGCUGGCAGAGGAGCAGAUCUAUGGUGAGAGGGCGAGUGAGGAGCCCGUGGCGGCCAUGGUCGCAGCAAACCCGAAAUUUUUGCCGAAGCAGCGUGCCAUCUACGAUGUUGUCCGCAUUGAAACUGCCGCUCGCCAGGAAGCGACUGCUGCGAAGGCACAGUUGCAUGCAAUCGUGGAGGAGAACAACGACAGCGCGCCUCCUACGCUCCGCCGACGAACCAUAACGCGGCCCAGCGGGACGACGACAGUGUCGGCGUCAUCAUUUCCAUUGCGGACCUCGUGUGGUGACGGAACAGGUCCCAGACUCCUCUGAGGAUGAGUAGGUCACGGGAGGUAGCAAUGCCUUUGUGUCCCAUGUGAGAUGGUCUGUCUUCUGUGUUCUACUCUUUCUUGCCGAAGACCGCACCUUCACUUAAUCAGUCUUAUCGUAGGUGCUCAUGGAGAUAGCUGAUGGAGGAUGACAAGGGCUUGGACGCCAGGCGCCGCCGCCAUAGUAUAGGUUUAGGGUCGGUCAUUUUUUUCUAAAUGUAAUGAAAAUCCGUCGUGUUUGUAUGAAAUUCGGCAUGUUUAUAUGAAAUAUGGCCUUGUUUACACAAAUUUCAUCUGAUUUGUUGAAGAAGAGUUUGAAACGUAUGCGGAUACAGAUGGAUGAUGGUCUUUCGCGUCGGUGUCCGCGGACUAUCCUCCUAUCCGUUGACGGAGGCAGGAGAAAAUUUACGGUUUGCCGUUGCAGAUGCCAUAAACGCCUUCAGUAUACGGGGCCGAUGGAGUAGGAGCCUGAACUUGUGCAAUGGGCUCUGAAGCCUGAGCAGUCGACACUGAAGGCCGGCCAGUCGACAGAGGAUUAGUAAAGGAAACUGCAACCCGUACUGGAUCAUUGAGUGGCUGGACCACAGGCUCAGGCGACGAGCAAGGCAUUCUGGAUCCAGGCACCCUCCUGCUCAAAGUUCGACCUCUCCUCCCAGUAUUCUUCAGAGGCUCAUCCUCAUCAUCAUCAUCAGGGAGUUGAAUAAUAUUCGUUGGUGCUGCAAACACUCGACAGUGAAAUUUCAGUCGACCCAAAUAUUCAUUAACAGAACACAGGCGUAGUCAUGAAACCAUACCUGCUCGAGAGGUGGUUGCAUCUGUAGUUUCCGCAUCACCAUGCUCCUCGUCAAUAUCCAUGGAUGUCGCAGACGCAGUAGCAACACUGAAAGUUCUGAAUUUCACUUGGUCAAACAAGCAAAUGAGUACACGAUAACAGAGAAGAACACAAGAAAGAAAUGCCUACGUUGAAGUCAAGGGCACAGUCACCUUGAUCUUUGGCAGGGCCUUCCGAGGCUUGGGAGGGGCAACUUUGGCUUGCUUUGCAGCCUUUUCUGUCGGCUCGGGAGUUGACAUUCGAGUGCGCUUCGGAACUUUGGCACUCGACGCAGCAGCCUUGCCACGCCCCCUGCAGGGUCUUGCAACUAUUUGGAUCGACACUCUGAGCGGGGCGGUGUGUCGACUUCUUCGCUGCUGUUGCUCGAGUCCUCGCUCUCAUCUUCACUAUCUUCGGCGUAUUGGUCGUUGCUGCCCUCAUUGUCACUAUUGAUCCCUUCCUGGUACUACUCUCCGUUGGGCAUCGAGUGCGGCUUGGUGAAAACCUACAAGACACAAGUUGUAUAUAUGAGUCGGAUUCAAGAACAACCGCAAAACAAAGGGAAAAACACUCGGAUAUUUGAGCCUGACCUCUCCUGGAGCAUUGUUGGCAUCGAAUGGCAGAAUCCUCCUGGACCCCCUGGGGUUGUCCUUGUUGCCAGUAAUGCUCCGGAGCCACUGAGCCACCGUCUCCUCGUCAACCUCCUCCAGGUGGGUUCGGGCGGUGCCCUCUGGGCCCGAAUACAUCCACAUGGGUUGGUCACUAGCUUGCAGGGGCUGGAACCGUCGACUAAGGUACAGCUCCAACAGAUCCAUCCCCGUACCUCCACCUUUAACCAAUUCAACAAUGGCCGCAACCAGCAUCUGCACUUCCUCUCUCUCCUCCGGAGCUACAACUAGUGAGCGAGGGUGCAGAGUCUCUCCAUAGUGAAAGGAGGGAGGCCAGUCGACUGACCAGGAGUCGGAACGUCCUUGCAGUAAAACCAGGUCGACUACCACCCUCUAACUGACUCAAGAAAGAUCACAGGAGGAAAGCAGCUACUACCCCUCAUUUGGAUCCCUAACCCCCCCCCACACAUCUGGAUCACGUGCUUUUUUUGGUCGCCUGGGUUAGCUUUCUUCACCGUCUCAGAACGACAAGUGAAUAUAUGCUUGAAGAGACCGUAGUGCCGCUGGUACCCCAAGAAGUUUUCGCACAUGGAAAUGAAUGCAGCAAGGUACAAAAUUGUGUUGGGAGGUAAGUGGUGAAUCUGGGCUCCGAAGAAGUCCAGAAAUCCUUGAAAAAAUGAGUGCGAAGGCAAAGAAAAAUCGCACUCGGCAUGGGUGGUGAGGAGAACACACUCACCAUCACGCGGCUGAGGCUCAAAUUCGUCCCCGGGCAGCCUCCAGGACCCAGGAGUGAUCAAACCAUCGUGGGCGAGAUUUUCCAAGUCCUCCUUCACGAUCGUGGAACGGAUCCAGUCCCCUUGGAUCCAACCAGGCAGCAGACCGGACCGCGACGACGAGCCCCUCACCGUCUUCUUGCCCUUUGUUGCCGCCGACGCCUUCUUCGCGUGCUCCAGGGCCGCGGUCUUCUCCUUCACCAUUGCGGUGGAGAUUGGGAGGACAAAGCGGAGGCGUUCGGAGCAGAGAGAAAGGAGGUGGAUAAGAAGAGAGAAAGGGGAUCAAUUGGAAGGCACUGUACCUUGCAUCGGCCUCGACGCCUUUUAUGAGGCUGGUUCCGAGUGGCUGACCGGUGGACCCCCAGAGAUCAAAUCAUAUCCCAUUACAGGCGUGGGCUCGAUACGUGAAGAAAAAGGUGGCGCCAAAAUCGAGGAGUCUCUAUCCGAUUCAUUCUAUUUACUGCGCCGCGCCUCGUCCGGGGCGCUUCUCUGAAAUUUCGAAUCCCGUGAAAUCCGAAAACCGCAGGGCAGUCAAUCGCGUCUAAGAUUUCUUGUCCUAAUUCACUCGAAGGCUUAUCACAACAAUUCAGUCGGUGACUUCAAGCUACCAGAAUCAAUCAAGCCGACUGACGCAAGAUUAAAAGUACCAGUGUGCUUACCAGACUUCUAUGAAGUGCCUCUGAAGCAUUGAAUUGAGUCGGAACCAAUUUCAACCCUUCUUCACUUUAACCUCGAUCCAUUUGGGGGCUAAUGAUGAGGACAUGUACCUAUGGUAGGGUCUUAGGCCUGACCUAGACACCCCACCCAAGGACACUUCCCUAUAAUUAAAAGACAUUCAAGGACAAAUAGGAAGUGCCGACUGGAAUCACCUUGAAGUGCAAUCCACUCGACAGAAGACUCCACUCGGAUAUCCCUAUUCCACUCGACCACAACAUAGUCACUCGACCAUAUGGAGAACCACUCGGAGUACAGAAGAUCUAACGUCACCUCAGGAUGGCAACGGUUAGGCGUUCACUCUGUAUUCUUAAAGAUCAUUUAUGGUUGGCGUUACCAGUAACGCCCCUAUCUUAACUCACAUUGAACCCUGUGUAAUGGAGGUCUGCGAGGGUCCUGGCGCACUCUAUAUAAGCCACCUCCUCCUCUGGCACAAGGGUUCGCACCCCUUGUAACAUUCAUGCAUAAUCCAGUCGACAUAGCCUCAGGGCACCGAGACAUAGGGUUUUUACCUCCUCCGAGAGGGGCCUAAACUCAUAAACUUGCGUGUACAACCUCACCAUAGCUAGGACCUUGCCUCGUCCUAUGUACCCCCUAUUCUUACUGUCAAACUUACUUCCACGAUAGCGGGCACCCCCCAGGCCAUGCUAGGUAUCCAUGUGGGGCCCCUGAGCAUCCUCUUGACCUAAUUCCGAUGCUAUAUAUUCACCUCCUCAUGAAAAAAUUAGAUAAAAAAGUUUCAUCAUGUUUUACAAAAUGGAGUCUCCGCCACCUCCUAUUCUUCGUCAGGAUCCCUAAUCUGGAGUCCUUUUAUAGCUCUGAAGACAGGGAAUCGUUGUCGUCGUAAUCACUAACUCUUCUCCAUCAACAAUUUCAUGAUGUUCACAAUAAUGCAAGAGUAAUCCCAUUGUAGGCAUACUGGAAGUAGAUUGGGUUGGAUGAGAUUUCUUAUGUAAUUGUGUCAAUUUAUUAGGUCUUGAUUCCUAGUAUCCACUAUGUUCUAAGAUUGAUGUUGCUAUGACUUUGAUAUGCUUAAUGCUUGUCACUAGGAACCGAGUGUCAUGAUUUCAGAUCUGAACCUAUUAUGUUACCAUGAAUAUAUGUGAGUUCUUGAUCAUAUCUGCAAGUUGUAUGCACCUGUUAUUGUUCUGAACAGUAGAUCCCAAGGUGACAAUAAUUAGGGUACUCUCCGGGGAAGACUGUAUUUUGAGGAGUUCAUGUAUUAACUAUGUGUUAAUGCUCUAUGCCAGUUCUCUAUUAAAAGGAGCGUCCUAAUUAUCCUUUGUUUCCGUUAGGACCCCGCUGCCACGGGAGGGUAGGAAAAAAGAAGGUAUGCAAGUUAUUAUCGCAAGCACAUAUGACUAUAUACGAAAUACAUGCUCUAGGUUUUUAUCGCUCUAGGUUGUCACUGUUGCAUAUUGAAUCUCAUAUGAACAUCCCAUCGCUACUUCAUGCCUAUGCUUUUCUGCUAUUGCCUUUGAUAAAGUUAGUAUUGCCCUGCUUGCUACAAACUUGUUACCAUUGCUGAUGUUGUUACCGUUAGUCUACUAUCACUAUUAUCAUAUUAUUGUGCUAAUAAUAAAUUGUUGCAAGGAUGUGAUUUCUCAUGUAUGGUUGAAUUGAUAACUCAAAUGUUGAGGCUUAUAUAGAUUCUUGUGUCGAAUCAAUAAAUUUGAGUGAAAUAAUACCGUUGAAGACUGUUGUGAUCCCCUAUACUUGUAGGUCAUCAAGACUAUGUUUUGGUGCCGUUGCCGGAGAGCAUAGCUCUGUUUAUUAAGUUCACUUGGGACUCAAUUAUUUGUUUUAAUUUAUCUUUUCUAUGAAGAACCUUAGAGAUUAUAAAACUAAGAUCAUACCCUCUAAGACUAGAGGAGGUAAGAAACUGUCAACUAGCUCAAUGCUUGAUUCGCCUUUUAUUUUGAGUCAACUUGUGACACCACCACCACCACAUGCUUUACAUUAUGAUGUGUCACACAUAGUAGGCAUUGCUUCACUUAUUCAUGAUACUUGUGAUGAUCCUUCUAGCUUGCUUGAUAAUACUAUGCCACUUGGUGAUUUACUUGAUGCCCAUAUUGCUAAAGGUAAAGAAAUGGAAACUUCUAAAAAUUAUGAAUCUCCUGUUACUCCUAGUGCUCCUAUUAGAGAAAGAAUAUCUAAUGUGCCUAAUCUUGAUUAUGUGUUUGAUGAGGGGAUAACUAGGGGGUUUAUGGCUUAUGAUACUAAUAGUGGUAUAGAGGGCUUGAUUGCUAUGCUUAAGGAGAAAGCUAUGAAUAAGAUGGUGAAAUUUGAUCCUAAGUUUGUUACUUUUCCUAUUUUUGUCAUUGAUAAGGAUUAUGAAUUAUCUAUUGAUCCUAAACUUAUUACUUUAGUAGAAUCUUAUACUCCCUCUAUAAAGAAACAUAAGAGCGUUUAGAUCACUAAAGUAGUGAUUUAAACGCUCUUAUAUUUCUUUACGAAGGGAUUACUUUUCAUGGUUAUGAGUCUGAAAAGGUUAUUGCACACUUGACUAAAUUGAAUGAUAUUGCCACCCUGUUUGCUCAAGCGGAAAAGAUUCGAUACUUAUUUUCUUUCUCAUUAAAGGGUGAUGCUAAAGUGUGGUUUAAUAAUCUUGCUCCUGAUAGUUUAUGUAGUCCCCAGGAUAUGAUCCAUUACUUUAAUGAAAAAUAUUAUCCUGCUCACAUGAAACAAGUUGCCUUGUAGGAUAUAUACAAUUUUAAGAAACUUGAAGAAGUAAGUCUCUCUCAAGUUUGGGGGAGGCUUGUCACAUUACUUAAUGCUUUGCCAGAUCAUCCUAUCAAAAAGAAUGAAAUUCUUGAUAUCUUUUAUAAUGGACUAACUGUUGAAUCUAAGGACUACCUAGAUAGUUGUGCUGGUUGUAGAGAAAGCUCAGGAAUUAUCGAUUAACUUACUAGAAUGUCGAUGAUUAGACACUUCCCAUACCACCACCAAAGUCAACUCCAAAUAAGUGAGAUAUUAUAUUCCUCGGUCAUGAAGAUAUGCAAGAAGCUAUGAAAUUAGUAAACCCAAGGAUGUAAAUAAUUUACCGCAUGUUGAAGAUAUACAUGGACUUGACCUUCCAAAACAAACACUUGAUUUGUUGUGCUCUUUUCUCCUUUGUAGGUUAGAGACGGUUAGAAGUUUAAACAAUUGAUGUUUUUUCACCUUAUUUGUCCUUGGGUAGGUGAGCCUAUUAGAUCUACAAAAAGAUGGUUUUUUUGUCCUUGUAUCUCAAUAUAUGUUAGAGACAGUGAAACUUUCAACAAGAAUUAAAUUUCCUAAGCUUGUUUGACCUUGGGUGGGCAAAUCCAUUCGACUACAAUAACUUUGAGAAAUAUUCCUAAAAAGAUUAUAAAGUAUUUAUUUUCAAUUUCUACACAAACGUGGGUAGCCAAUAUAAAGGGGCUAACCCUCUGUCCCAACGAGAAAGGUGAGUCAAGUAAGUAGAAGCAAACUUGCCUAGUUGUCGGCAUCUUGACUCGAAUCAACAAUGCUUUCACCAUGUUAAUUCUCGGUCAUUAAGUAAGUCAUAAGAUUUCUUGCCUCGAGGGUGUCUUCUUAACUAUAUAUUACACAUGGAAAAUUAUUAUACCAUGCAUCGAACAAUGUGUUCAUACUAUGAAUUUAACUGAAUGUUGUUCAACUUUCGAGAGGAUCUCGGAAGAUGUCUCAUUCCCUUUGUUGUUCAAUCCUGAUACACCUACCAGCUACCAUGGUCGGCCAGCCACAGUGUGCAGCUCACAUCCACAACCAAUUGCAAUGCGAGAUGCCAAAUUGGGGAUAUCAUGGCACCCCAACAACUAACACACGUGGUGCCAGGUGAUGGAGGAGCAAGAGGAGAAAGCUCGUAUGAUAUAGUGAUGCAUUGCCACAGUAUUAGUGUUGGCUUGGUCGAUGUGUUGUGGUUAAUUAAACGUUCUUAUGAUGAAACAUAACAUGUUUACAGAAUCUGGAUCAAGUAGAGAGAGAUCGUUUACAAGUUGUUACUUUAAGUAUUGCUGACUGCAACAUGAGCAUGAAAAACACUAUGGUUUUGUUCGUGUGAUAGACACAAGGAAGGAAGAGGUCGCUUCUACGUUCACUAUGUUUCCUUGUAUAGUUGCCAUAGACUGUAGAGGCACAGUUGAAUCUUAGCAGGUGAUCUACUGAUUCUUACAUGAGUAGAUUUAGAUGAAGUGUAGAUCUUGCAUUUGACUAUAGUGCUUUUUCCCACCAAAGACCAUGCAUUUAUUUAGACUAACCUCAAAUUGGGUUACAUGUAUUUGACAACCACCUCCCUCUAUCGUAGGAUUCCAUAUGGUCAUGCUGCAUUGAGAGAGCAAUAGUUAACAUUCAUCAAGUCGACAAAUCUAGAUUUCACUGAUACACUUCUAGUUUUUGCCUUUGACUGGCGGUCACUAAAUGAUGCACCAACUAGAUCCAACUAAUCAACUUAUCACUAGUUAGUGACAGGCAGGAAAAUAACCAAUGUGGUAGAGUUGGAGGGAAAGGCACGCGAGCUAUGUUGUGUAGUGAUUCUUGCUAUUUGUGGAUUGUCGGUAGUUCCUGGUGCCUCAUAUGCCUACACCUAUCCUUUCAAUUCCCUAGUUUGUAAUUCCAUUAUAAGGAAAUGAGUUGAUAAACAAUUUGUUCAUGUUUGGCUUAGGGAAGGCUAGUUUUAUAGAAUACUUGGGGUGCAUGGUAGUGGUAGUGACAUGAAGUCAUUGAUUCUUUGUUUGCUCAAUAGCUAAGAUUUCCUUGGUUAUGAGCUUUAUCCUUGGUAGGUAAAAGCCCAUGUGAUAUUAAACCAAACACUUGAUUUGUUGUGCUCUUUUAUCCUUCAUAGGUUAGAGAUAAUGAGAAACGAGUGUUUUUGAGCUUAUUUCUCCUUGGGUGGGUAAGAAGUGAGAUCUUAAAACAAAAGAUGAAUAUGUUGUGGAUGUUGCUGUCGGAAGGCUAGGAGUAAAAUGCAUAAAACCACCACUUUAGCGUCAUAGCUCUCGAAAACCCACCACUUUACAAAACGUGACACUUUGCACUGCACCGAAAAAAUGAUAGUGGCAAAAAACACUAAUCCAUUUUUUGAGCAUGUUUUGACACGGCCAAUUGUGAGCAAGCCGGCAGCGGUGGACGGCGCACCACUAACGUCCAUUAACUCUCCUGUCUGAAGCAAUUGGGAAGGCCCUCACUCCCAUCACUCACUCCCAUCCAUCACUCCCAUUCCUCUCCCUAUAUCCCUCUUCUCUCUCUCGCAUGCAUGGCGGCGGUGGCGGCUCCUGAUCCAUUGGUGAGGGAGUGGUGGGGGUCAAGGCACGGUGAACAUAGCCAGUCACCUUGGCUGGCCGACGUGGUAGGGAGCAACCGCGUUGAGGAGGAAGAUUGUGCGGCCACAACUUUCAUCCAUUAUAGAGUUUUCAUCGUCGCUACAUUUCGAGCAAGAUUCGUUUAACUAUUGUUAAGUGGUGCUGGUCCAACCCAUGGUGAGUUGUCUCCCUCUCUCUAGUACCAAUUUUUUUGUGGAAUUCUAGGGUUCCAGAUCUGGAAACAAGGUUUUGCUAGAAUUCUAGCAAAUUUUGUUGUUAACUGAAUCUUGUUGUGAACUUAUGCAAUUAACUGAAUCUUGCUACCUGUCACUGAACCUAGGUGUUAAUUGAAACUAGUUAAUUGAAUCUUAGUGUUUGUGACCGAACCUAGUUGUUGACAGAAUCUAGGUGUUAAGUUGACAGAAUCUAGUUGUUGACUUAAUCAAAUCACAACAAGAUUCAGUAAACUGAAUCAGAUCACCGCAAGAUUAAGUUAGCUAAAUCAAUGCAAUUAACAACUAGGUUCACAACAAGAUUCAGUUAACUGGAUGAAUUUAGUUAACUAAAUCAGACCACAACAAGAUUCAGUUAACUGAAUGAAUGCAGUAAACUGAAUCAGAUCACAGCAAGAACUGAAUCUUUACUGUUGUCACUGAAUUUUCAUGGCCUCUCAUUCCAGAAUUUUAGAGUUUGCAAAUAGUUAAUUAUUCUAGGGUUAGUUACUUCACUGAUUGAUAGAUGUAGUUGAAUUAUUCUUGUGGACUGAAUGAAACUAACACUAAAUGCCACUACUGAAAUUUGCAGAGUGUUGUGCAGUUGGUACAUGAAUUAAUUUUGGGUUGAGUGAUGCAGUGGACAAGUUGACCAUGGAAAGAGUGAGUUAGCGUACAUGGGUUAAGUGAUUUGACUGAUGUGAAGUGUCAGUAGGUGUGCUCAAUUUAAUGUUCAAACUAUGUUGACUAAAGGCAGCAAGUGUCCCUAGCUAGGAGAGAACUUGCAAUAUUCAGACUUGCAAUGUUCAGACUUUAUUCAAUCAAACUAUACUGGUAGGAAAGAACUAAGUAAAUUGUCUGGAAAAAGUUUGAGACUUAGAUUUUUUGACAUUUUAUUUUUGCGUUGGCACCUACAACACAACUAUAGUUCUUUGCAUUGACGCCUACAACACCAUAAUGAUCACAAAGAUUUAGCUACUAUGCGAACAAACAUCCAGAAACCAUGACCACAAACAUUCGGAUACAUAGAUAGAUAGAUAUCAUAGUAUCCAAGUUCAGAAACCAUGACCAUCGACAUUCAGAUAGAUAAAUAGAUAGAUAUCAUAGUAGCUAAGUAAGAAACCAUGACCAUAGACAUUCAGAAAGCACACCUAGUGAUCUGCCUGCUGCAGAAAUUAAGUUCAAAAACUAAGUUCUUUAGACACUAAGUUCAGAAACUAACUGAACCCAAUAUAUUCUUCAGAUCUUGCUGUAGAUAUUAAGUAAGACCUAAGUGCUACUCGCAUCAAACUCACUCUUGCCGCAGCUUCAGAAGACGGAGUGAUCGACAGACUGGCCCCAUGAUGCGGAGCUGCUUCUUCUUCCUCCUCAUGCUGCUUGAGUCUAUCUCCACCUCCACCCGUUGCUGCUCCAUCUGGGGCGCCUCCACAUGCACCUUCUGCUCCAUCUGCGGCGGCUCCAUCUCCAUCAAAGAAGCGAGGGGCAGCACUGGCACCACCAUGUCGAGCGCGUAGUCCACGCGGAGUUGGUCGUGGUUCUGGUACAUAUACCAACGUGCCCUUUGGUAUGGAUCCGAGAAAUCUCUGGCCUCCCCCAUCGCCCAGACCAGGUUCUCGAUCAAUGGGCGGUGGAGGUCUGGCAAUUAGGUGUACUCCUCAUGGUUGGGGGCCGCCCUCAUUGCGCGUGCAUGAUUCUUGAGGAUGGCAACGCUGGCGUACCAGGUGCUAACCUCGCACGCAUAGGAGAGCUUGGUGUUGUCGCCGUCGAAGAUCUCCUAUAGCGCCUCGUCCUAUCGGAUGCCAAAUGCCAUGGCGCAAUGGAGGUUCUGUUUGGUUUGGGUGGGAACGAGGAAGUUGGAUGAAGAAGAGCGAUGGAGAGUGGUGGUUAUCUAUGCAAGGAGGGUGAAUGUGAACGAAUGCACUAUAUGUGCGUGAAGACUAGGGUUUUCUGGAGAAAACUAACGGGCACAGUCAAUCGAUCAAACUAGUGUUGUGUUUUUAGAAGAAUCGAAUGAGCAGAGCCUGCCCAGCAGCCCAGCCCAGCAAACGAUCGCAUGCGCCCAGCCCAGCACAGGAAACCUUCGCACGCGCCCAGCCCAGCAGCUUCGUCCCGAGCGGAAAAAAAAGACGGUCGUCAAUGCCCGUCAGCGCCUCGCCGUCACCGCUGUCGGCCCGCAAGUGAUCGGCCACGUCAAAAACGCACUUGUUUUUUCGUUCAGUGUUUUUUGCCACUGUCAUUUUUCGGUGCAAUGCAAAGUGUCAUGUUUUAUAAAGUGAUGAUUUUCUGAGAGUUAGUAUGAUAAAAUGGUGGUUUUAUGCAUUUUACUCGUAGGUUAGAGACAAUAAGAACUGUAAAGCAAUUAAAUCCCUCCAUCAUAGGUAGGAAAAAGCCAGUUGAGUAAGUAGAACCGAACUAGUUAUCAACAUCUUCUAACUCGAAUUGACAGUGCUCCCAGAGUGUUAAAUAUUCUAUCCAUUGUCUCAACCGAUAAAUAAGUCACGAGUUUACUUGCCUUGGUGAUGUCUUCUUGAUUAUUAUAUGCAAAAAAUAUUGUACCAUACAUUGAACAAUGUGUUUCUACAUAGUUUAACAGAAUGUUGUUCAACUUUAGUGAAUAUCUCAGAAGAUGCCUCCUCUUUGUUGUUCAAUCUUGAUACAUCUACCACCUACCACGGUUCGAUGGGACCACGGUGUGCAGCUCACGCUUAACAGAGUUGUACUCCGGGAGUGCCCCCCAACUCUGAUCUAUUUAACCAUGAAUUACGAUGAUAGUCAAGUCAUUGUGGAUAAUAUGACUAAUAAACUGACUUGUGGUAUUUUGCAGAAAAGAGAACGAGUUAUGUGUGAACAGUACAUCUCAUGUUGGACAAUGUGUGCAAGACGGGACUUUGCUCGAAGUGAAAUAAUCCGCUAAGUCCUCGUUUGGAUAUCAGUAUUCAAGCUUCGGAUUUACUCUCUCUAUCCCGAAAUAUAAGUGCGUUUUUUAGGUGUCAAAAAUGUUCUUAUAUUAUAGGACGGAGGGAAUAGAAUUGAAGUUGAGUUUUUUUGUGAAUACUAUUGUUCAGAUGUCCUUAGAAUUGAGAAUUGAUUUGGGGACCCUUUCACGGUGUUGACGUUCAACUAACACAUGCCACUGAGCAAUGCUACACCUAUGAGUAUUAAGCAUCCUAGGGCAACUCCAACCUGCCGACGCAAACAGACAUGGAUUUUUUCGCCCUUUUGUCCAUUUGGAUCAACUGAUUGGACGCAUGUGUCCGGUUUUCGAUUUGGGUCAGCCGGUGCACCCAACACGGCUGACGCAUAGUCCGUAUGGUCUUAAGAAAAUGAAGCAUGCAUAAAAUACUUAAAUUUAAAACAUAAUUAAACAUUAAAAUAUAAAUCCAUGACGGCCAAAGUCCACUUCAAACAUAAUUAAACAUUAAUGAAAUCCAGCCGCCCCAGCCCAUAGCCCUAGGCGUAUCCCUCAUCGCCAGGGCCGGUCUAGUCGAAGAAGGGCGUCUGCUGCGCCGGCUCUACUGUGUGGUGUGUGCGCUCUAGCUGCAUAUGUGGCUUCUCUUUGGCCCGCUCCUCAGCCAACAUGUGGGUCUUCCACUGCUGGAAGUAGGUUGUCUCAUGCUUCUCCGUCGCGCCUAGCCAGAUGAUCAGUGAGUUGACCCACUCCUGCACAAUGCAAAUCCCACUGGUACCUCUCCAUGGGGCCGAGUGGUUCUGGCGUGGGCUCCAUGGGCUCGUGCUUGGGCAGCACGGGUGCAAGCAGUGACGGUGGCGGUGGAGGGUAGACCCAGUCCCCCGCCACCGAGAGCUGGAGCACCUCCUUGAGGCUAGGCCAUCGAUACUGCAGGGUAACGCAGCAGAAAACAAAAAUAUCCGACCUACGCAUCAGCCCAGGACCACUAUGGAGACUGCAUACAUGGUUUGAUCAUUUUCGUUAACGACUCGUACCGCAGCGGAAGUAGAGUCGAUGACGAACAGCGGUGCAGAUCCCCGCAGCUAGGAUUUACAACCUCCCAACCGCAAGGAUGUAUACCCUCAUCCGCCCCACGGACAGCCCUCCGGGAGGCGGUCGGAUAGUCCCUCGGACGGUGUCGCGGACAGCCCUUCGGGAGGACCCCCCAAAACUCGCACGGUCACUCGGACAGCCCUUCGGGAGGAUUCGCAGAACUCGGACCGUCACUUGGACAUCCCUUCGGGAGGCACUCUCAAAACAGCCCCUCGGGCAAAAGGAUCAAAACUACGACCUCUCUAUGGGGUUGCACACAUACGGUGUCAUCUAUCCGGCAGGGCUUCGCCGUCCAGAACUAGUUCCUGUCGGAACCCAGACAGCCUUUCGGCUCUACGAAACUCUUUUCAUGGGAGGGAGAGAAGAAGCCAGAUCAUGCAUGGCACUUGUAUGUGAGAAGGGAUGACGGUUUGGCAGCCCCUCACCUCCUAUUUAUAGGAAAACCAAGGGGUAGUGUGCCUCCACAAGUACCCAAAGUGCCCAUGCUUUAUGUCAUACAUAAGGGAAAAAUGGGGAGGCAAGUGGAGCACCAAAUGGUGGAAGGAAGCCUCAUGGGGGGGCCCCAAUGGCACAAACGAAAUUGGCAGAUCUCUUGGGUGGCCCCACCACCUUCCUAUCCAUCCAUGUCAUCCCAGAAGAUCUUGGGACAAAGCCCAACAUAAUGGUUUUCCAUAAAAUAUCCCAAAAAGCACUUUCACUAUUCAGGACGACAUUUUUCAGCGUCCGUUCGAACUGAAAAUAUUUACGUGGGCUUAGAACAUUUCCGGUACCCACCAAAAUGUUUUUCAACGCGUUCCAAAACAAUUCCGGUUUAGUGAUUUUCAUCUGCGAAAAGCAUCUGAAGUGGUUCCGUGAGCUCCGGAGCACAUCCGGUUAUUAUCCCGGAAAUUUCCAGAAAGCUUCCAGAAUGAUUCUGGCACCCUCCAAGAAUUAUCAGGCAUGUGCCGAAACCAAUUUUACUUAAUGGUAUCCCCUGAAACAACUUUUCAGUUUCACCGAAACUCAUCCGAUGACCUCUCUCUACGGAACCUUUUCCGCUGUCCGAAACUUUUCCGGUGUCCGAAACUUUUUCGGUGAUUUUCUCUCAGACUCCCUGUCUAGUAUUCAGCAGAUAGAUGACCCUUAAGCGUGUGACCCAAUAGGUUCGGUGAAGUAUAGACAUGACUCGGAACCCCUUCCGAUCAAUGAUCAACAUCAGAGCCGUGGACACCCAUAUUGACCCCUAUACCCACACAAAUUAAUAUUCGAGUGAACCUCCAGUUGUCGUGUGCUAUUCCUGUUGCUUCGUGAUAUGUUACAAAUACCCGAGGUGAGACAUGUUGGCAUUCCCGUGGAUCAACAACUUGUCCACUAUGCUAGUUACCUCGUUACCGGUAUUGUUCUCUUUUCUCGUUUCCGUGUUCGGGAAUCCCUGUGAUCAAAUCACACUGUGUCUAGCCAGACGAUGAUGGAUAUCGUAACACCGAGAGGGCCCAACAAUAUCUCUCCAUCAUCGGAGGAGCAAAUCCCAAUCUUGAGCUAUCAAGUUACUUGACACACUUUUCCAUGAACCCGUAAGCCGCCGUAAUAGCCACCCAUUUACGGAUGAUGUUUAACAAACCCCAAAGUUCAUGAAGCAAGUAUGAAGAAACUCGAUACUCUCAUGGUCUAAGGAAUUAUGCAAACAUUAACCAUCUCUGUCUUAUCUACCAUAAACUUGUGACGAAUGAAUCUCAUAGCAUAACAUCAAUCUGGGUCGAUUCAACACAAAUGUUCUCUUAACAUUUUGCCCUCAAAGUUGCUGGCAUAGACAUGCCCAUGACCAGGAAAACAGAAUCAUCAUGCAACACUUGAGCUAGUCUUAGUGGCCAGAUUAGGAAUACUUCUUGUCGUUUAUAAUUCCACACGUGCAUAUGAGUCACUACUAGGAAAAGUCCUACUAAUGGCGCACCAGUUUUGCCUACUAAUGGCGCACUACUGGUGUGCCAUUAGUAUGCCUAGAGGUGCGCCAUUACUAUCUCACUUAGUAAUGGCGCACCACAUAGGAGUGCGUUCAAAUUAUUCAAACUUCCGUUCAUAUUAUGUGUCAUAUUUUGAAAAAAAAAAUCCCAAAAAAAAAUUCGAAACUAAAUUUUUUUUUGUUACUAGUGGCGCACCUGGCAAACGGUGCGCCACUAGUAAGUUUGAAUUUUUUUUGCCUCCAGAUCUUAAAAGCCCCGUAACUUUUUUCUGUUAGGUUUUUGAAAAUGUUUAACAGGGUUCCCCAGUUAAAUUUGGAUGUAACUUUUCUAGUAGAUGAUUUUUCAUAUAAACAACUUUUUAAUCCGAGGUCGUAUGCAAAAGUUAUGCCCAUUUUACAAAUUCCACAGAGAUUUUGCAAAUAAAGUCGUAAUUCAUAUUUGUAAAUUUUCCCAACAAGUAGACCAUAUAUCGCAUGGAAAACUUAUUUUCUUUUAUUUUUUGACAUUUCCAUCAUUUUCUUUUAUUUUUUAAAAAAUUGAAAAGGCGGUCCACGAGGGGGUGCAUUCGGUGGAAUUUUUGGGCCAAGUUAAUAAUGGCGUACCGCGGGAGUGGUGCGCCAUUACUAGUUAAACUAGUAAUGGCGCACCACACCCCCACGGUGCGCCAUUACUAGUUUUGAAAAAAAAUGAAUUUUUUUUGAAAAAAACUUAGCAAUGGCGCACCAGUGGACAGUGCGACAUUACUAGUUAAAACUAGUAAUGGCGCACUGUCCAUUGGUGCGACAUUACAAACAAAUUUUUUUUUGUUUUUUUCAAAACUACUAAUGGCGCACGGUGGGUGUGGUGCACCAUUACUAUGUCAACUAGUAAUGGCGCACUAUCCCAUGGUGCACCAUUAGUAACAAAAAAAAUUUAUUUUUUUUAAAACUACUAAUGGCGCACCACACACUAGGUGUAUUACUAAUGGCGCACCUGUAAGUGGUGCGCUAUUGCUAUAUAGCAAUGGCGCACCACAUACAUGGUGCACCAUUAGUGUCCAUAUUAUCUAUAGCCCUUUUCCUAGUAGUGAGUCUUCCUCCGAGCCUCGUGUUAUUGCAGACUCGAGAACCAUAGCAGUUAUAGCAUGGAACAUGAACAUAAUUAUGAACACGAAGAUAAGUAAUAGCAUUUAUUAUUGCCUCUAGGGAAUAUCUCCUACAGAAUCCCACUUGCACUAGAGUCAAUAAUCUAGUUAAUGCUAAUGCACUUUACACCUAUGGCAUACCGGUGUAAAAAAUGCUUCGCAUGUGGUAUAGCCUGAUGUCCAUCGGAUCUGACGACUUCAGCUCCAUGUGUAUCUUUGCAUAUCCUCACGUUUUCACGCUUUCACAAAAUUCAUAUUUUGUGUGGACUUCGCUUUUAUGUAUGUGAAUCACAGGUCGAACCUGGAUUCCUCAGACUGAGUUAUGGAGAAACUACCUGCAAUAGUGUCCCAUUGACAAAAGCCAUCUUGGAACCAUACUAAGUUCAUGAAUGAACUAUAUGAUUCAACAUCUUGUUUGUCGCUUUUAAAGCAUCAGCAUACUUAGUCAUUUGUUAUAGAAUUCGUCACAGUAUCCGUUGGAAACAAUUUCCAACUACAGUGCCACCAUAUUGUGUAUUACACAAAACCCUUAAAUUAAAUCGAAAAUCGGAUGGAGAAAAGAUGAAGACUGUAUCAAUGUAACAUUUUACAACGAACUCUUCAUGAUCUCCGCUUGCGAGAAAACAUAUUAUGAGUACUUACUCUGGUACUCAAUGACAUCUUUCACUGUUGUCCCACGAUCAGUACUUUGAUCACUUGAGUAUCCAUACUCGCAACACCUUGGGAGUAUCGGACAUAUCUGGUUUGUUUUACAUACCAUGGAAUACAUGAUUAAUCCAAACACAAAAGUGUGUGGAAUCUGCAUCAUGUAUUUUGCUCAUCAGUGUUUUGGGACACUGAUUCUUGCAAAAACUCUUUCCAUGUGACUUCAGCAAGAAACACUCCUUGUCAUUCUUAGUGCUAAACGGUUUUAGCAUCUUGUCAAUAUGUAUUUAUUGCUUAGCCCUAUUAGGUAAAUCUAUCUCCAUAGAUCAUUAUGCCUAAUAUUGAGGCUAUUUAGCCUAAGCACUUCAUCAAAAAACUAUUUCCAAAUGAAGUCCUAAUUCGUGUCAAGAAAUUUAUUUCCAAUUAACAAUGUGUCAAGCACACAAGGUUUUUAGAAAUAUUAUUACGCUCCCACUUACUUUCUUGAAUUACAAGCAUCUUCGUUACCCAUUGAUGAAGUCAAACCCAUUUGACCAUUUCAUCAAAGCACGAAGAUUCCAACUCCAUUUUGCUCUCUUCUGUCCAACGCUGGAACUCUGAAGUUUGCACCCUUACUAGCAUCCUCUGGAUAGAAAAAAUGCCUUGGACUGUAACACAUGCAAGUCCUUGGUUUCAUUUCUGUCAGAUGGAAAUCCUAUUGUCAUCCAUGUUUCAUAUCUCAUGAUUGAAAUAUGUAUUAAUUGCUAGUUCAACCCGAACCAACUUUAAGCAUCGCUACGAUGAAAACAACCUCAUCAUAGUCAACUCUUGAACUUGUUAUUUCAACAAGUUGAGCUUUAUGGAUAAAACAUUUUUAUCCGUAUCAGUUUUAAGUUCCAUAAUUAUUCGUUAGACUCUAAGUCUUCCGAAAGGUGUAUCAAGGUUUUAAUCUUGAAUCACUUAUAUGGAAACUAACUCGGGUUGUAUUGGCAUUUAGCCAAUUCCGGAGUCAGGGCCUGAGGGAGUCCUGGACUAUGGGGUGUCCGGAUAGCCGAACUAUCAUCAUCAGCCGGACUCCAAGACUAUGCAGAUACAAGAUUGAAGACUUCGUCCCGUGUCCGGAUGGGACUUUCCUUGGCGUGGAAGGCAAGCUUGGCGAUACGGAUAUGUAGAUCUCCUACCAUUGUAACCGACUCUGUGUAACCCUAGCCCUCUCCGGUGUCUAUAUAAACCGGAUGGUUUUAGUCCGUAGGACAACAACAAUAACAACAAUCAUACCAUAGGCUAGCUUCUAGGGUUUAGCCUCCUUGAUCUCGUGGUAGAUCUACUCUUGUAAUUCCCACAUCAUCAAUAUCAAUCAAGCAGGACGUAGGGUUUUACCUCCAUCAAGAGGGCCCGAACCUGGGUAAAACAUCGUGCCCCUUGUCUCCAGUUACCAUCCGCCUAGACGCACAGUUCGGGACCCCCUACCCGAGAUCCGCCGGUUUUGACACCGACAUUGGUGCUUUCAUUGAGAGUUCCUCUGUGCCGUCGCAAUCAGGAAGGAUGCCUCUUCCCGUCUUUAAAGACGGUACCAUUGCCAAAGGAGCUUUGGCCGCCGGUCAAGCUAUCCGGCUAGGUGGUUUUCUUAUGACUGCCUGUUCGGCCACCGCUUUGACGAUGACCUCUCUUCCGUAAACGAUAUUCGCAUCAACUCGGAAUUCGCCGAGCAGCUGGAUCUGAUGGAGCUCUCUUCCGUAAACGAGCUCUUGGAUCGCAUCGCCGCCCUGGGAGUCGCUACAGACUAUGAUCAGAUUGGGCUUAAAACCGAUCUGAGAGAAAUUAACUCUCCCCAGGCUACCCACCAUGUUGCUGUGGUAGAAGAACAACGCGGCGACUCUUCCCCCAUGUUAAGAACCAGUUAUGUCCGGAUCCCCGAUCCCUCCAUGCCGGAUUCCUGCGGAGGGACGGACGUCAAUCGAGUACUGAACCUAAAGUCAGGCAGCGGACUAGAUUCGUUGGACGACCUCCAGCAAUCCAAGCUUCCAAAUCCGAAAAUUCCUCGGCCUUUGAGCCUUAGAUCGGGCGGGGCUCCGAAUUUAGUUCCACCCGCCCACCCAAACACAAGCGAUCUAUCUCAAAUACGGCAAGAUCCCGAUGAAACAGUACAUCAUUACUCGGCCAGAUUCCUCCUGGUUAUAGACAGGAUAAAGGACUGCCAUGAGGAAAGCGCAAUCUCUAUUUUCUGCAAUAAUUGCACGGACAAGGGAAUCAUGAACGCCAUAAGUCGUCGCGAGGUCACGCGCUUCGCCGACCUGGCGACCAUAGUACGAAAAUACUGUGCGAUGGAGAGUGCCUGGAAAACCGAAACUAGAUUUUGGGACAAUCCGGCCCUGAACACAACCUUAGUCCGGAAUAAAAGGGUGCACAACGCUAAAGCACCUGGGUCAAAAACCAAAAAGCAAAAACCCCCCAAAGGGUACGGAACCGUACUGGAAGAAUGGCUCAGCGGACCCUAUAAAAUCCAUAAUGCAGAAGGCGCCACUCCAACACAUAGCCUUCGGGCAUGUUGGAUACUACGAUGGUGGCCAAAAGUGGCGAAGGGCUUCUAGCCCCGGACAACCAGCCCAACAGCACCAGUACGGUAUCAAUAGUCUUUGAGACUUUCGCAUCGAAUAAUAUGCGGAAACGAACCAAGUAGCAACAACAAAUCCAUGGAGCGACACGGCUAUCACCUUCAAUGCCAGCGACGAACCUAAAUUCCGAACAGUCCGAGCACCAGCCGCAUUGGUCCUCAGUCCCAUACUGGACGGCUUUCGUCUUACCAAGGUACUCAUGGAUGGCGGCAGCGGAUUAAACCUCAUCUACGAGGAAACUCUCCAAAAAAUGGAAAUAGAAUGGAGCCGCAUUGAGCGAAGCAGCACAACCUUUAGAUGAAUAAUCCCUAGUCGAGAAGUACGCUACACAGGAAAAAUCACACUAGAUGUGGUGUUCGGCUCACCAGAUAACUACAGGUCCGAGGAAGUCACGUUCCAAGUGGCCCCGUUCAGCAGCGGAUAUCACGCUCUAUUAGGACGAGAGGCAUUCACAAUUUUCCAAGCCAUACCCCAUUACGGGUACAUGAAGCUCAAAAUGCCCGGGCCCAAUGGAAUCAUCACUCUGAUCAGUGAUCCGGACAUAGCACUCCGCGCCGAAAACAAGACAGCCGCACUAGCCCUAGAGGCACUAUCCGAAGCAGUAGCGGCAGAAGAACUCACGGCACUACGCUCCAUGGUGAAUAGGGACGAUGUGAUACUCGACAAGAGAUCUAAGUCCACGUCUUUCAAUUCAGCAGAUGAAAUAGUCAAAUUCCAGGUCCAUCCUACGGACCCCACAAAGACGGCCUCCAUUGGGGCACAAUUAAACCCUGAUGUAGAAGCCGCACUACGAGAAUUCCUUCGGGUAAAUUGGGACAUUUUUGCCUGGCACCCUUCAGAUAUGCCAGGAAUCCCACGCAGGCUGGCAGAGCACAGCCUAAAUAUCCUAAACGGAUUCAAGCCAGUCAAACAGGCUCUUCGACGAUUUUCCAAACCCAAAAGACAGGCAAUGGGAGAGGAGCUAGCCAAACUAUUGGAAGCCGGAUUCAUCAGAGAUAUAAAACAUCCGGACUGGCUAGCAAACCUGGUAAUGGUAUCAAAAAAGGACAAAUCCUGGCGCCUUUGUGUGGAUUUUAAAGACCUUAAUAAGGCAUGUCCAAAGGAUCCUUUCCCUCUCCCCCGCAUCGACCAAAUCAUCGAUGCUACCGCGGGGCACGAUUCAUUGUGUUUCCUCGACGCAUACUCCGGAUACCAUCAAAUCAAGAUGGCGGAAACAGACCAGGCCACAACAGCAUUCAUUACUCCAUAUGGACCAUUCUGCUUCAACACAAUCCCCUUCGGACUUAAAAACACCGGCGCAACAUAUCAGCGCAUCAUUCAGACAUGUUUGGCUACCCAGAUCGGCAAAACAGUGGAGGCAUACAUAGACGAUGUGGUCGUCAAAACCAAACACGUCGAAACUCUAAUAGACGAUUUGAGGCUCACAUUCGACAACCUCCGAGCAUAUGACAUUAAGCUUAACCCGGAAAAAUGCGUUUUCGGCGUACCAGCCGGAAAGCUCUUGGGCUUCAUUGUAUCCGGUAGAGGAAUUGAAGCAAACCCAGCCAAGAUCCGAGCUCUGUCACAAUUGAACAUCCCAAAAGACCUCAAACGAAUACAAAAAUUGACUGGAUGCGUGGCGUCCCUAAGCCGCUUCAUCUCCCGUUUGGGAGAAAAGGCAUUGCCCCUCUACCGCCUCCUCAGGCGCACCGAACACUUCGAAUGGACGGAUGCUGCCACAGCCAGACUCGAAGACAUAAAGGCCAUACUGGCAACAAAUCAGGUCCUGGCCGCGCCCAACUUGGGCGAACCAAUGUUGUUAUAUAUCGCGGCAACACAUCAAGUUGUAAGCGCGAUGCUCGUCGUCGAACGAGAAACAGAAGGGCACAAAUUCCCUCUUAAAAAACCAGUGUACUACGUAUCCACUGUCCUAACUCCAUGUAAGUCCCGAUACCCACAUUAUCAAAAGAUAGCGUACGCGGUGUUCGUGGCAUCCCGGAAGCUGCGACACUACUUUCAAGAGUGUUCGAUAACAGUGGCCUCCGAAGUACCUCUCAACGACAUCAUAAACAAUCGUGACGCGACGGGCAGGAUUGCAAAAUGGGCCAUUGAGCUUUUACCAUUCGAUAUAACCUACAAACCGCGGUGAGCUAUAAAGUCGCAAGUUUUGGCUGACUUCGUCGCUAAAUGGACUGAAGCCGAACUCCCUAAAGAGUACGGCGCAUACUCCAAUUGGAUUAUGCACUUCGAUGGCUCUAAAAUGUUGGCCGGCUUGGAGGCUGGCGUCGUCUUGACGUCCCCAACCGGAGAUACAGUCCAAUACAUACUUCAAAUAAUGUACACGGACUCCAACAACGCAGCCGAAUACGAGGCCCUUCUACAUGGUCUCCAGAUGGCCAUCUCCAUGGGCAUUAAACGCCUAGAGGUCCGCGGGGAUUCAAACCUCGCAAUAUCCCAGGUAAAUGGAGACUUUGAUGCCAAGGAUCCGAAAAUGGCAGCCUACCAUAACGCCGUCUUAAAAAUGUUAGCUCGGUUCGAAGGACUCAAAUUCCACCACGUAGCCUGGGACGACAACCAGGCAGCCGACAUGCUGGCACGCAUCGGCGCAAAACGCGAUGUCGUCCCUCCAAACAUCUUCUUGGAGCGGCUCUUUAAGCCAUCCGUACUAUGGGAAGAGGAGUCCGGAAAUAGCAACCAGGAACCAACCGCGCCACCCAACACGGAACAUUCUGACACAAUCGAUGGCUUAGCCAAUGAAAUAACACCCUCAGCCCACGAAAUAAUGGCAGUAAUCGCCCCGUGGACGGAACCAUUCCUAGCCUACUUAACUAGGCAGGAACUCCCCGAAGACCAAAAUGAGGCCCGUUGCAUAGUUCGGCGAUCUAAAGCCUACAAGGUCCAUGAGGGAGAACUUUAUUAGAAAAGCACAACCGGAGUCCUUCAAAGGUGUAUCUCCGAAGAGGAAGGGCGAAAUCUCCUGGCUGAAAUUCACGCCGGACUCGGUGGGCACCACGCCGCAGCCCGAGCCCUUAUAGUCAAGGCCUUCCGUACAGGAUUUUAUUGGCCAACUGCCCGGGCAGAUGCUCAGGACUUAGUCCAACGAUGCGUCGGUUGCCAGCUCUUUGCUAAUCAAAGCCACAUGCCACCCACCGCCCUCAAAACUAUACCCAUCACCUGGCCGUUCGCGGUCUGGGGGCUUGAUAUGGUUAGACCCCUUAAAGGGGGAACCCACAAGCAAAAAUACCUAUUGGUCAUGGUAGACAAAUUCACCAAAUGGAUAGAGGCCAAGCCAGUUAAAACGGCCGAAUCCGGACCCGUGAUAGACUUCAUAUCCGGGGUAGUACACCGUUAUGGUGUCGCCCACAGCAUCAUCACUGAUAAUGGCACAAACUUCACGGUCGACGAGGUUAAACUCUGGUGCAAAAAUAUGGGCAUCAAGCUCGACUACGCUUCAGUCUAUCACCCCCAAACUAAUGGUCAAGUCGAGCGAGCAAAUGGUCUAAUCAUGAGCGGCAUCAAACCCAGACUAGUGCGGUCCCUCAAGGAAUCUAACACGCACUGGGUAGAGGAGCUCGACUCCGUACUCUGGAGGCUAUGGACCACGCCAAACCGCACUACCGGAUUCACACCAUUUUUUAUGGUGUACGGCGCAGAGGCAGUUCUGCCCUGCGAUAUAAUUCAUGACUCACCUCGCGUGCGCAUGUACGAAGAAAGAGAAGCCGAGUUGGAUCGGCAGGACAGUUUGGACGCCUUAGAGGAGGAGCGGGACGUGGCAAAAGCUCGUUCCGCAUUCUAUCAGCAGCAGGCUCGAAGAUAUCAAAGCAGAGAAGUACGGGCCAAAACUUACAAUGUUGGCGAACUUGUUCUACGCGUGCCGGACAAGAAAAAGGACAAACUUAAGCCCAAGUGGGAAGGUCCCUUCAUCAUCGACCAAGUCCUGACCGGCGGAGCAUACCGUCUACGUAACGCAUCUGACAACCGACUCGAGCCGAACCCAUGGAACGCAGCCCGUCUCCGAAGAUUCUACGCCUAACGUUGGACUCAGAGUUUGUCUCCCUCCUCCAUCCACCUUUUACAUUUUCACUGUCUCUUGUCCCCCUCCUUCUUCCCACUUUUUUUUCAAUGCCUUUGAUAGGCUGAUUUGCGCAUUGUUCGCAUACACUUGAUGUGCUCCUAGCACUCAUUAUACCUGGGGGCUUCUUUAACAGAAGCUUAUUUAUACGGGCUUCAUGCCAACACAUGUGUCAUACUUCCGCAUGUACCUUUUAUUCACCAUUAUAUGCAUCGAUAUGACUUAAGUUUUGGCCAAGCUGGGUUGCCUGGCUCCUGUGCUUACCCCUACAUUCCCGGUUGUUCGGCUAGGAGGUAAAGGGAGCACCUCUGCGAUUGUUACUAUCGGGUCAGCCGGAUGUGUACCUCAGACUGGGUGAAGCCAAAAGCUAGCGUUCUUAAGAGAAUAUUCGGUCGGUGACUUGAAAGAUGAUUUAUUGCUUAUUUAACUUAUCUGCCCCCAGAUGCUUUUUCUGCUCUUUUCGCAGUGUGGGCAUGCACUUUAGGGCAUGCCUCCCAGGGAAAGGAACCCCUAAUGGAACUAUUCUCCCUGGAAGAUGUUUCUUACUAACCAUGUAAUAUAACAUAACUAGUUGGGCACUUGUCUGAUAAAGCACUAAUGACCCCUAUGCCUGGUCUCCAUGCAUGCCCCGGUUUUUCAUAACUGAGAAGGUAUUCGGACACACUCCGGACUCUAGGGUCCCGAGGUUGAAGCGAAAAGGUCGGCAAAGACAAACGAUCUACAAUCCGGCUAGAAGGCAUUUUACAUGUCAUUUUAAUAUACAUCGUCAAAUUGACUGAUUGUACUCCUCUUCGAUCUCGUCUAACAGGCUGUCUAAUUUACAGUCCUGUUGGGAAUACUUAGCGGCCAACCCUACUUGGCCAUACAUCAAGCUCACAGGGAUCUCCUUCCCAUCGGGCCCCAUAGGCCCGACCUCGGCCAUGUGGUUCGGAUCCGCCUUCUUGUACCACGUCUUCACCAUGGCCCAGGCCUCCCUGGCGCCUUGACGGCAGGCCGAUAUCUUCCACAGACGAAAGCGCUGCCGUGCUCCCUGAAGCUUCUCGGCAAGCCCUUCAAGGCUUUCGGGUAGGGAGAUAGACGGCCAUAAGGCCUGAGCGACGCCACUUAUCGCUUGCCGAACACGUUCGUGCAGUUGCAUCAGCUCGGGGAGUUGGUCACCCGUUGAACCGGGCAUUCCCUCCGCAGGGCGACCUGUGAGCACACCUAAAGACACAUUUCUGUCAAUCGACUUCCUCGCCAAAUUCUUCUUUUCAAAGGAAUUUGCUCAAGCACUUACUAUAAAUGCCGCGACGAAGCCGCUGAUUCUCCUUCACGGAGCCAGACAGCUGGGCCCGAACAUCUUUCAGCUCUUCUCCUAGCUGGGUGUGGGCAUCUUGGAGCUUGUUCCUCUCCUGCUGCACCUUCAUAAGCACCCUCUCGCCGGCCUUCAGCUGACGCAGUAGCUGUUGCUUGUCCAGAUCUAGUCCGGCGCCCUCAACAAUAUUAUUGUCAGAUUUACGCACACGCCGCACUUUGUUCACUACUUAUCUUUUCGAAGUAUGUAUUACCAGCGGGGGUCUCUGUGGCUCCCCCUGUGGCGGCCAGUGCGGCCUCAAGUUGGGCCUUGCACUCUUGAAGCUCCUGGGACAGGUGGGUAUUCUUCUCCGUAAGAUCCUGCAUAAUAAAUAAUCCUUAAAUCAGUUAUUUUAACUAUUUUAAGUCUCGGGGGCUACUGGCAUAUAUAACUAUUAAAAUUACUUACCCGUAUGUCCUUCACAUACUGCUUCGUGGCUCUGGUUUAACCAUCUUGAGUGGCACGGAGGUGCGCGUCUCCCGCAUCAAAGGCAUUCAACGCCUCCGGGGAGAAACACGCGUCACGAAGAACUGUCCGGCGACGCCUGUGAUUCAUGGCGCUCUCCACCUCAGACCGGGUGGCGGACAGCCUAUCGGCAUCCUCUGUUGGAGGAGCAUCCGGCUCAUGCCUUGUGUUCGCCUCCCCUUUCGGACCACGCGUUGGAGCAUGGUUGGCGGAGGCUUGAUUGGCAACCUCUCCGGACACUGUCCGGCGAGCGCUCUUUCUCCUGGAAAAGUUAUGAGCAUUAAUAUACCUCCUAGGGAUCCUUCCCUUAAAAACAGCGGUGCGCCGUACCGUUGUGGCGACGUUUCGAUUCGCGUCGCACUCCUCUUCCGCCUGCUGGGCCGAACUGACCCUUGCUGGUCAGCCGCCGCGGGUUCGGCUUCACGCCUUAAAGGCGCCUCCUGCGAUGCACCAUCAGUAUAGGAUGGUCAGAAAUGAGCAUGGAUCAAAUGAUGGUGUCAAGACCUUUGUCGUAGUCACCUGGGAGGCCGGAAAUAAACCGGGGUAGUCAGCCGUAAUGGCGACUAGAGCAUUGUCCAUGCUAAGUUGGUGGAACACCCUGUCAAUCAGCUCCACCUUUAUGUCCGGAUCCUCUUCGGAGGCCGGAUCAAGGGAUCGUUCCGGAUCCUCGGGCUGUGGAGUUAGGCUUUGUAUGCCCUCCACGUCCCGGCGCAGCUCCUGCGUCAAAAUCACAAAGUAAGAUACUUGACUUUGGAAAUAUGGAUCGGAUAGAUAAACGUCCGCUUACCCAGCUCCGAGGGUUAUUCAUGGAGAAUCCAUUCAAUGGACUCGUGCGGAGGAAGUCCUCCUCCUCCCCCUUGUACAAGUCGGACAGGAUCUUUACCAGAUCGGCGGCCGAGCCCGGCCCUCUGCGGCCAUGACGGGUGGCGUCAUCUUCCCCGUUGAAAUCCCACAUAGGGUGGCCCCUAUAUUGGAGCGGCUGCACCCCUCGCAUAAUGCACGUGGCCAUGAUUCCAAUCAUGGUCAAUCCGGAGUGGGCCAGUAACCUAAUCUGGCCCAUCAGAUAAUGGACGCUCCCAUCAUCCUCCCGUUGAGGGCUCCGCGGGCGCCAACUCAGGCGUUUCUUCGAGGGAGCAUUGCUGAACUCCGGGAGGCCGAUCCGAACUGGAUCCGGCAGAGGGGCGUCCUCCAUGUAGAACCAUUCCGAAGGCCAGUCUUAGGACGCCUUCUUCGGGGUGCCGGAUGGAUAUCCGGUCCCGGCGAUGCGCCAUAUGUCGGCUCCGCCCACUUGAUAUAUCGACCCCUCGUGAGAACGGGGUACGAGGCAAAACAAUCUCUUCCAUAGCACAAAAUGGGGCUCGAUGCCCAAGAACAGCUUGCAAAGAGCUACAAAGCCCGCGAUGUGCAAAAUGGAGGCAGGUGUAAGGUGGUGAAGCUGGAGUCCGUAGAACUCCAGGAGCCCCCGGAGAAACGGAUGUAUGGGAAAUCCGAGUCCCUUUAUUAGAUAAGGGACAAAGCAUACCCGCUCUCCUUUGGAAGGGUUGGGGACGCUCUCCACCUGCUUUCCACCCCUGAAGGUGGCCAGUCCGGCUCGAACCGGAACCAUGAAGGCUGGGGGAAGAUAUCCCUCGGUUUGGAGCGCCACUAGCUCGCUGUGUGGAACUGAGCAUCUCCCCCAAUCUCCUGGCUGAGGGCUGGGAGCGCAAGAGGAGGAGCCGCGUCGACUAUCCAUGAUAGAAUGGAUUUUUGUCAGAGGCGCUUCGAUGAGUACUUGCGGAAGGAGGAUGGUGUGAGUUGGAUCUAGAUCCUCGCCUCUCUUAUAGGCGGCUCGUUCGCAUGGCUAGGGGGUAAAAUGUAAAAAUACCCUAGCUUUUCGCAUUCAUACGGCACAUGGAAGAGGGCCAUUAUUGGGCGUAGAAGCCAAGGAGUGCAACAUUUAUAAGGAAGCCGGACACUAUUCGACGGGAACAUGAAGUUUGAAGGAGAACCCGCCUUGCAACGCCGAAGACAAUAUACGCGCCGGACUCGUCGUCGCUGAAGCCUGGUUCGGGGGCUACUGAGGGAGUCCUGGACUAGGGGGUGUCCGGAUAGCCGAACUAUCAUCAUCAGCCAGACUCCAAGACUAUGAAGAUACAAGAUUGAAGACUUCGUCCCGUGUCCGGAGGGGACUUUCCUUGGCGUGGAAGGCAAGCUUGGCGAUACGGAUAUGUAGAUCUCCUACCAUUGUAACCGACUCUGUGUAACCCUAGCCCUCUCCGGUGUCUAUAUAAACCGGAUGGUUUUAGUCCGUAGGACAACAACAAUAACCACAAUCAUACCAUAGGCUAGCUUCUAGGGUUUAGCCUCCUUGAUCUCAUGGUAGAUCUACUCUUGUAAUUCCCACAUCAUCAAUAUCAAUCAAGUAGGACGUAGGGUUUUACCUCCAUCAAGAGGGCCCGAACCUGGGUAAAACAUCGUGCCCCUUGUCUCCUAUUACCAUCCGCCUAGACGCACAGUUCGGGACCCCCUACCCGAGAUCCGCUGGUUUUGACACCGACAGGGCCCAUCAACGCUUCCUUGUGUAUCGUAGGUAUAAUGUUGUCUAACAACAAUAUCUUGUUUGUGCACCUGAGAGGUUUGCACGAGCCUUGCUUACGUGGUUCAGCUGCAAGUUCGACCGAAGUUCAUACAUUUUAUUGUAGAGACUUCCGUAUUAGUCGCAAUAGGAAACUCUAGAAUUACUUCCAAGGUCUCUUUCCUUUGAUCUGAUGACAAAGAUACUGUUUAUCUCGUCGAGUUGCACUAUUCUCCCACUCACCUUUUUAAAAGAACCAUUCUCUUUAAAAGCACACCGUUUCGCGGCAAAACUAUUUGCCUCAGUAUAGUGAGGGAGGAAUACCCAACAUUUUGGUAUAACCUACAAAGUAGCACUUGUCUGAUUUGGAAUAGGUUUGUAACCUUUUACACAAGCCCCAUAUUCCAAAUGUUAAGAAAAGAUAUAACAUGGUUGGGCGUACCAUACCAUGGCUUCAUUUCAAUAGACCCGAUGUAGCUCUUUUCAGUGUAAAAGCCGCAGUCUCUAAAGCAUCAUUUUAAAAGGGAUAAUGGCAAAUUUAUUUAUGUCAUUUUUGACCUUACCAUGUCAUAAAUGGUUAGAUUACAUCUCCACGCACUAUCCACUUGCAGUGGUGUUCCGGGAGGUGCAAGUUAUGAAACCCCUUUCACAACUCAUCAGACAUUCGCUAAACAUGUAACUCAAAUAUCCCUUUGUGCAAUGAAAUUGCAGAAACAUAAUUUUCUUGUUACUAAAACUUCUACUUCAUUUUUGAAAACCUUUCGAAUGGUUUCAAAAGAUCCAGACUUACGUCUCAUCAAGUAAAUAUCCAUAUAUCUACUUGAGUCAUUUCUGAAGAUAAAUAAAUCCACCACUUGCAACAACAUUUAUUGAACUACACACAUCAAAAUGUAUGAUCACCAAUAAGUUUGUUGCUCGUUCCUUAUGGCCUGUGAACGGUAUUUCAGUCACUUCACUUUUCAGAGGAAAGUUGCAAGUGUCAGAUGAUUCAGAAUCAAACGACUUCAAAAUCCAUCAUAAUGGAAUUUUUUUCAUGUGGGUUUCUCCAAUGUGACCAAAUGCAGUGCCACACAUGUGUGGUAUUCUCAUAGUCUUGUGAUAUUUAGCAUCAGCGUUAUGGAUGUAUCAUUUUACCAUCAAUAUUCAUAACAUACAUCCCAUCUUGGAUGGACGCAUGGCCCUUCAUGUUAUUCAUAAUACUGAACAACAAUUGUUCUUUUAUCAAUAACCGUUUUGCAAUAAACAUUGUGCAAUGGGCUAGAGUGUAAGAAACUCUAAAAUGAAUUAUGAAAGUAAACACGGAGGUAAUAUAUUAAUAUCAUUAUUCAUAACAUUCAUUUCAUUCACAAUGAAAGUAUGGCCCUUAUGUUUAUUCAUAAUACUGAACAAAAAGUUCUCUUAUGAACAACCUUCUUGCAAGAUACCUUGUGCAAAGGGCUAGAGUGUAUGAAACUCUAAAAUGAAUUAUGAAAGAAAAUACAUGCGGCAAUACACCGAUGGAAGGUAUAGUAACAUUUACUAUGUUCUCUGUGUAUACCUUAACCUCAUUUCUGGCUAGCCUUUUAGGCCAUAAUAGCUCUUACAUUGAUUCAUAACAGAAUGCAAUCGAGCGGGUAUCUUUGUGAUUAACUCACAAUACCCAAGAAUUAGUGAUUAACAUGUUUAACCAUAAUUCCCAAGAACUAUAUCUUUGACCAGCCUACUAUACAUCAAAAACUUGUAUGACAUUCAUACAUGAGCUGGAUAUUCCAGUCAUCUUUCUUUCUGCCUUUAUACUUCUAACAGUUUAACUUUUAGUAUUUCUCCUACUCGCAAAAGAAGCACCCAACUUAAGAGUGGCGUUAGCCCCGGACUUCCUAGGCGUGUAAGUCAUACUAACACCCUUUGGACACUUUCUUUAUCUUUAAGUUGUUGUUUUAUUCACCUUUCAUUAUAUGACAGGCGUUCUUCUGGAUCCCUUUCCCAACAGUCAAAUGCAUAGUAAACACUUUUACUAAUACUUGCAAACAAACAUUGCUUUGUUUGUAUCUGAAAAUAAUUUUUAGUUCCAUGAAUAUCAUAUAACUAUCCCAACUUUCGAAGUUUGGGUUUCAUGGAAGCAAACAUAUUCCACUUGACCGUAACAGAAUUCUAGCUUUUGGAUCGAAGGACGAGAGUCGCAUGAUCCAUAGCAUUAGCGGGAGGAUACGGAAAGCAUGUGAUAGGACAAUGUCCUUCUUGGCACUUUUGAGGAUAAUCCUCAUAUUAUGUUACCAAUCGUAAAGUUUUAACCAGAUAUUUAAUAGCUAUUCAAUUUUAACAGGGAAAGUGGAAUCGCGAGCCAUUAUUCUACAACUAUUUUGCAAGAAACACUUAGACGGUGUUCAUAAUUAAUUGCACUGAGAAUUAAACAUGUUAAUUCAAGAGUACGCUCCCACUCAAAUCAAUAUCUCACAUAAUUAAUUUUGAGUGAUACAAGAUCCAGACUUCAAUUCAUCGCCAUAGAAUCAUCAUCUCAUAACGGGAAUUUUAAUCGGUAGGCCAACUUGCCGAUCACAUAUCUAUGUGACUCUUGCUCAUCUUUCGGUGCGUGUGUUCCGAGCUCAUGACGAUCCUGCCAUGAACGUCAAGACAACCAAGUGAUCUUGUUGCAAGGUUUGACCUCACCCACCUCACACUUCUCUAAUCGUUCGUACCCAUGCAUCCAUGGCGCACCCCAAAAACAUAGGUGUUGUGAUGGUGCUACACUUGGGAGAACACUAACUACUUGAUAUUUUAGUGAGAGAUCACCCUAAUAAAAAGCGACUACCGCGCAAUCAAGAAGGGUGCAUCAUAAGGGAUAAACAUCUCAGGCAAUUCAUAAUAGCAUGAUAUGGUAUAGCCCUUUCUGAUGAAGAAGUCUUUCAUUUCUUCGUCUUCGGCAUUCGCGUCGGUGUUCACCUUCGUGAAGAUUGCCACCACCUUGUCGAUGCACCAGAUAAUAUCGCUAUCUCCAUAGUGGAUAAAAUAAAUGCAUUACUUAAGGUUGACUCACAGGUCAUUAAAGUGCAAUCAUAUGGCUCCAGCCAUCAUGCCGAAUCAUGACACGCAGGUCAUGAUAAUUACAUCAUAUAGUCAUCUCAUACAUAAUCAAAUUGAAUAUGAGCAUUGCUAUACCACAUCACAUGCACAUGCAAACCCUCCUGCAAAACCAAGUUAGACGUUUCUAAUCGGUUCAUGCAAAAACUUGAGUUUCGUGGCUUCUAAGGUUUCGACUUAAACCGCAGCUACCAAUGUUUUAUCAUCAAGUAUGAUUAUUCAAGUUGCUAGAUUAACAUCUCGGGGUGUAUGAAACAUGAGAUAAUUAAAUCUCGAGCCCCAUACUGAACUUCGUCAUACGCAUGACCCCCGUGCAGAUCAUAUCUGCAAUGCCCUUUCAUCUGCGAAUUUCAUCUUUCUUUUGACUACGGCAGAACCCAAAGAACUGAUAGCACUUCCAUGAUCAAUCAGGAUCACGGAUUGCCAGAACUUUGUCAAAUUCCACCAUGUUGUCUCGAGAUUGAGAAAACGCAAAUUCUAGGGAAGCAACAAGAACGUCGGGUAACAGAUUUCAUCUGUCACCCGCAUAAAUAAUUUUCAACAAUAGAUCUCAUCUACUCCAAAAUUAUAUUAUGCAAUACCCAUACAUCUCCAUGUAUUCUAGAUCGUAACCUGCAUCUACGCAUAGCACGGCUCUUGAUGCCACUGUAGGGUAAUGCAGCAGAAAACAAAAAAUUUCCGACCUAUGCACCAGCCCAGGACCACUAUGGAGACUGCAUACAUGGUUUGAUCAUUUUCGUUACCGACUCGUAGCGCAGUGGAAGUAGAGUCGAUGACGAACGGCGGUGCAGAUCCCCGCAGCUAGGAUUUACAACCUCCCAACCGCGAGGAUGUAUACCCUCAUCCGCCCCACGGACAGCCCUCCGGGAGGCGGUCGGACAGUCCCUCGGACGGUGUCGCGGACAGCCCUUCGGGAGGACCCCCAAAACUCGAACGGUCACUCGGACAGCCCUUCGGGAGGAUUCACAGAACUCGGACCGUCACUUGGAUAGCCCUUCGGGAGGCACUCUCAAAACAGCCCCUCGGGCAAAAGGAUCGAAACUACGACCUCUCUACGGGGUUGCACACAUACAGUGUCAUCUAUCCGGCAAGGCUUCGCCGUCCAGAACUAGUUCCUGUCGGAACCCAGAUAGCCUUUCGGCUCUACGAAACUCUUUUCGUGGGAGGGAGAGAAGAAGCCAGAUCAUGCCUGGCACUUGUAUGUGAGAAGGAAUGAUGGUUUGGGCACCCCUCACCUCCUAUUUAUAGGAAAACCAACGGGUAGUGUGCCUCCACAAGUACCCAAAGUGCCCAUGCUUUAUAUCAUACAUAAGGGCAAAAUGGAGAGGCAAGUGGAGCACCAAAUGGUGGAAGGAAGCCUCAUGGGGGGGCCCCAAUGGCACCAACGAAAUUGGCAGACCUCUUGGGUGGCCCCACCACCUUCCUAUCCAUCCAUGUCAUCCCAAAAUAUCUUGGGACAAAGCCCAAAAUAAUGGCUUUCCAUAAAAUAUCCCAAAAAGCACUUUCACUAUUCACGACGACAUUUUUCAGCGUCCGUUCGAACUGAAAAUAUUUAUGUGGGCUUAGAACGUUUCCAUUACCCACCAAAAUGAUUUUCAACGCGUUCCGCAAAAAUUCAGGUUUAGUGAUUUUCAUCUGCGAAAAGCAUAUGAAGUGGUUCCGGGAGCUCCGAAGCAUAUCCGGUUAUUAUCCCGGAAAUUUCCAGAAAGCUUUCAGAAUGAUUCUGGCACCCUCCAAGAAUUAUCAGGCAUGUGCCGAAACCAAUUUGACUUAAUGGUAUCCCCUGAAACAACUUUUCAGUUUCACCAAAACUCAUCCGAUGACCUCUCUCUACGGAACCUUUUCCGCUGUCCGAAACUUUUUGGGUGAUUUUCUCUCAGACUCCCUGCCUAGUAUUCAGUAGAUAGAUGACCCUUAAGUGUGUGACCCUAUAGGUUCGGUGAAGUAUAGACAUGACCCAGAACCCCUUCCGAUCAAUGAUCAACAUCGGAGCCGUGGACACCCAUAUUGACCCCUAUACCCACACGAAUGAAUAUUCGAGUGAACCUCCAGUUGUCGUGUGCUAUUCAUGUUGCUUCGCGAUAUGUUACAAAUACCCGAGGUGAGACAUGUUGGCAUUCCCGUGGAUCAACAACUUGUCCACUAUGCUAGUUACCUCGUUACCGGUAUUGUUCUCUUUUCUCGUUUUCGUGUUCCGGCAUCCCUGUGAUCAAAUCACACUGUGUCUGGCUAGACGAUGAUGGAUACCGUAACACCGAAAGGGCCCGAGAAUAUCUCUCCAUCGUCGGAGGAGAAAAUCCCAAUCUUGAGCUAUCAAGUUACUUGACACACUUUUCCAUGAACCCAUAAGCCGCCGUAAUAGCCACCCAUUUACUGAUGAUGUUUAACAAACCCCAAAGUUCAUGAAGCAAGUAUGAAGAAACUCGAUACUCUCAUGGUCUAAGGAAUUAUGAAAACAUUAACCAUCUCUGUGUUAUCUACCAUAAACUUGUGAAGAAUGAAUCUCAUAGCAUAACAUGGGGUCGAUUCAACACAAAUGUUCUCUUAACAUUUUUCCCUCAAAGUUGCUGGCAUAGGCAUGCCGCCAUGACCAGGAAAAUAGAAUCAUCAUGCAACACUUGAGCUAGUCUUAGAAGCCAGACUAGAAAUACUUAUUACCAUUUAUAAUUCCACACGUGCAUAUGAGUCUUCCUCCGAGCCUCGUGUUAUUGCAGACUCGAGAACCAUAGCAGUUAUAGCAUGGAAUAUAAACAUAAUUAUGAACAUGGAAAUAAGUAAUAGCAUUUAUUUUUGCCUCUAGGGCAUGUCUCCUACAGAUACAGGAUCGUGUUGGAUGACAAAUACGUCUGAACCUCAUUUAUAGUCAGGUUCCGAGUCUUGCCUAAACACGUGCACGGCUUUUUCCACCUCUUUGUUGGAACCGGGAACUCUAAAAGCUCAAAGAACGAGCUGGCAACAACGUGAGAAGGAAGACACAAAGAUAUCUACUGCAUGCUGUUACAUCUUUUCAGGUUUCUUCAUUUCUUAUUUGUAUCAGAAACUCGCAGUGGCACACAGGUGUGGGGGCACAGUCUGAUUGUUUCGCAAUCUGUGAAGUCAUUGGAUUCCGUACGAGGGCACAAAAAGUUUUCCGUCUGGAUGAUUGCGGUUUGUUUGAGUGUCGGCCUUGGAGAUGCCCUUAGCCACCCUCUUUUUGUGCCUCCUUUUUAAUAUUCUUUCAUUCAUAGUGUUAUUCUUUUUCAGAUCGCUACUAUUUUGCGUGGAAGUUGGCAUGUAUGUUGUCCACAAAAACCGGUAUGCUAUAUAUGCUCCCUAAGGACUUUGAGGAGGGUUAGCGGACCAAUGUCAAGAAUCAUGAAACAUACUUUGACUUCUAGAAAUAAGGCAACCAAGUGCUACUAAAGCUCAUACGCUAUAGUGCCACACUGCCGCACUAUUAAUGUUGGCUUGGCAGAUGUGCCAUGGUUAAUCAAAAAUUCGUGUGAUGAAACAUAACAUGUUUACAGAGUCUGGAUCAAGUAGAGAGAUCUAUUGCAAAUUGCUAGUUAUGUAAAGAUGUUCUGACAGCAACAUGAUCAUGAACAACUAUGACUUUGUUCGUGUGACAGACACGAGGAAGGAGGAGGUCACUUCUGCUUUCACUACAUCUUGAAUCUUAGCAGGUGAUUGACCGAUUCUUGCAUGAGUCUAUUUGGUUGAUGUGUACAUCUUGCAUUUGAAUAUAUUGCUUUUUUUCAACAAAGAUCGUGCUUUAUUUACACUUAACAAAUAUGUGACACACAUGAACAACUAAUCUCAAAAGCUGAUUGCUUGACUGACGGUCAUUAAACGAUACACCAGCUGGAUCCAGCUAAUUGACUUAUCACUGAUUAGUGACCGUGACGAAAAUAACUAAUGUGGUAUAGUAGGAGUCAUAGGCACGCGAGCUAUGUCAUGUAGCGAUUCAUGUUACUGGCUGAUCAUCGGUAGUUCCUAGUGCCUCAUAUGCCUACACCUACCAUUUUGAAUCCCUAAUGUGUACCUACCACCAGUAGUUCCUUGUGCUUCAAAUCCGUGGUGUGCAUACAUCAAACAAAUAAUGCACAAUUGUAAAUGAAUAGGCCCACUAUAAGGAAACGAGAUGAUGAACAAUAUGUACAUGCUUACCUUAGGGAAGCCUCGUUUCUUAUAGAAGACUUGCGUACAUGGUAGUGGUAGUGACAUGAAGUCACUGGUUCUUUGUUUGGUCAAUAACGAAAAUUUCAUUGGUUAUGAGCUUGAUCCUUGGUAGGUAAAAGCCUAUGAGAUAUUAAAACAAACGCUUGAUUUGUUGUGUUUUUUUCUCCUUUAUAGGUUAGAGACAAUGAGAACUUUAAACAAACAUGUAUUUUUCAAGCUUGUUUGUCCUUGGGGUAGGUAAGAGUGAGAUCUUAAAACAAAAGAUGAAAUUUGUUGUGGAUGGUUCUCCUCGGUAGGCUAGAGACAACGGGAACUUUAAAAACAACAAUUAUACCGUACAUCAAACAAUGUGGUUCUACAUAGUUUAAUAGAGUGUUGUUCAACUUUAGAUACACUUACUAGCUACCAUGGUUCGAUGGGGCCACNNNNNNNNNNNNNNNNNNNNNNNNNNNNNNNNNNNNNNNNNNNNNNNNNNNNNNNNNNNNNNNNNNNNNNNNNNNNNNNNNNNNNNNNNNNNNNNNNNNNNNNNNNNNNNNNNNNNNNNNNNNNNNNNNNNNNNNNNNNNNNNNNNNNNNNNNNNNNNNNNNNNNNNNNNNNNNNNNNNNNNNNNNNNNNNNNNNNNNNNNNNNNNNNNNCUAUUUAACCGUGAAUUACGAUGAUAAAAGUCAUUGUGGAAAAUAUGACUGACUUGUGUUUCGCAGAAAAGAGAACGAGUGGUGUGUGAACAGGACAUGUCAUGUUGGACAUUGUAUGUAAGACGGGACUUUGCUCGAAGUGAAAUAAUUUGUGAAGUCCUCGUUUGGAUGUCAGUAUUCAGGCUUCAAAUUUGGAAUUGAAGUUGAGUUUCUUUUGUGAAUUCAAUUGUUCAGACGUUCUUAGAAUUGAGAACUGAUUUGAAUACCCGUUCACGGUGUUGACGUUCAACUAACACAUGGCACUGAGCGAUCUAUGAAUGUUAAGCAUCCUACGGGAUUUAAGUAAGUGCAAUUCCAACGCGUCGACCCAAGCGGGCACGGAUUUUGUCCGCUGUUUUGUUCGUAUGGGUCGUCUGACCGGACGCACGCGCCCGGUUUUCAAUUUGAGCCAGCCGCUGCACCCAACGCGACCGAAGCAUAGUCCGUGUGGUCUUAAGAAAAUGAAGCACCCAUAAAAUAUUUAAAUUUAAAACAUAACGAAACAUUAAAAUUUAAAUCCAUGACGGCCAAAGUCCACUUCAAACAUAAUUAAACAUUAAUAAAAACUAAAAAAACUGCCUUUCAGCCGUCCCAGCCCACAGCCCUAGGCAUCGCCCUCAUGGUCGGGGCCGUUCAGGUAGAAGAAGGGCGACGACGACGGAGCCCUCGGGAAGGCCUGCUGGUACUUGGCCAGCGCCUCCUGCUCCGGCGUCUGUUGCAGCGGCUCUGCUGCCUGGCGCGCACUCCUUCUACUUGCGCUCCAGUUGCAUGUGUCACUUCGCUUCGGCCAGCUCCUUUGCCAGCGGGCCUUCCACUGCUGGAAGAAGGUCGUCUCCUGCUCCUCGAUAGCGCCCAGCCAGAUGGGUGGCGCGGUAACCCACUCACGCACGAUGCAAAUCCACUGGUACCUCUCCGUGGGGGCGAGUGGUGCCGGCGUGGGCUCUGUGGGCUCGUGCUUGGGCAGCACAGGUGCAGGCAAGCAGUGACUGUGGUGGUGGAGGGUGGACACGGUCCCCCGCCACCGAGAGCUGGAGCGCCUCCUCGAGGCCAGGCCACCGGUACAAGAUCGCGUUGGAUGACAAAAUACGUCCGGACCGAGCAGUAGGACGAUUGCGGGCUGUUUGAGUGUCGGCGUUGGAGAUGCCCUUAGGCACCCUAUUUUUGUGCCUCCUUUUUAGUAUUCUUUCAUGGGAUAAGUUUACAAAUGGUCCCUCAACUUCAAAACCAGCAAAACUUAGUCCUUUAACUUUUUAAACCGGAUAAGUUUAUUCCCUCGUGCAACUUUGGGUGAUUUUCUGCUGACCUUUGAGCGGUUUUUGACUUGGAUUGACAAAGUGUAGGCCCCGCCACCUCUAUCCAUUUUUUAAACUUUAAUUUAUGUUGUUUAUCCCUCUAACUUACCUAUGGCCCCCACUAUAAUGAGCAUCUUUAAUCUCAAACAGCACGCGCCCGGUUUUCAAUUUGAGCCAGCCGGUGCACCCAACGCGACCGAAGCAUAGUCCGUGUGGUCUUAAGAAAAUGAAGCACCCAUAAAAUAUUUAAAUUUAAAACAUAACGAAAUAUUAAAAUUUAAAUCCAUGACAGCCAAAGUCCACUUCAAACAUAAUUAAACAUUAAUAAAAACUAAAAAAACUGCCUUCCAGCCGUCCCAGCCCACAGCCCUAGGCAUCGCCCUCAUGGUCGGGGCCAUUCAGGUAGAAGAAGGGCGACGACGGCGGAGCCCUCGGGAAGGCCUGCUGGUACUUGGCCAGCGCCUCCUGCUCCGGCGUCUGUUGCGGCGGCUCUGCUGCCUGGCGCGCACUACUUCUACUUGGGCUCCAGCUGCAUGUGUCACUUCACUUUGGCCAGCUCCUUUGCCAGCGGGCCUUCCACUGCUGGAAGAAGGUCGUCUCCUACUCCUCGAUCGCGCCCAGCUAGAUGGGCGGCGCGUUAACCCACUCACGCACGAUGCAAAUCCACUGGUACCUCUCCGUGGGGGCGAGUGGUGCCGGCGUGGGCUCCGUGGGCUCGUGCUUGGGCAGCACAGGUGCAGGCAAGCAGUGACGGUGGUGGUGGAGGGUGGACACAGUCCCCCGCCACCGAGAGCUGGAGCGCCUCCUCGAGGCCAGGCCACCGGUACAAGAUCGCGUUGGAUGACAAAAUACAUCCGGACCGAGCAGUCGGACAAUUGCGGGCUGUUUGAGUGUCGGCGUUGGAGAUGCCCUUAGGCACCCUCUUUUUGUGCCUCCUUUUUAGUAUUCUUUCAUGGGAUAAGUUUACAAAUGGUCCCUCAACUUUAAAACCAGCAAAACUUAGUCAUUUAAUUUUUUAAACCGGAUAAGUUUAUUUCCUCGUGCAACUUUGGGUGAUUCUCUGCUGACCUUUGAGCGGUUUUUGACUUGGAUUGACAAAAUGUAGGCCCCACCACCUCUAUCCAUUUUUUAAACUUUAAUUCCUGUUGUUUAUCCCUCUAACUUACCUAUGGCCCCCACUGUAAUGAGCAUCUUCAAUCUCAAACAGCACGCGCCCGGUUUUCAAUUUGAGCCAGCCGGUGCACCCAACGCGACCGAAGCAUAGUCCGUGUGGUCUUAAGAAAAUGAAGCACCCAUAAAAUAUUUAAAUUGAAAACAUAACGAAACAUUAAAUUUAAAUCCAUGACAGCCAAAGUCCACUUCAAACAUAAUUAAACAUUAAUAAAAACUAAAAAAAACUGCCUUCCAGCUGUCCCAGCCCACAGCCCUAGGCAUCGCCCUCAUGGUCGGGGCCGUUCAGGUAGAAGAAGGGCGACGACGACGGAGCCCUCGGGAAGGCCUGUUGGUACUUGGCCAGCGCCUCCUGCUCCUGCGUCUGUUGCGGCGGCUCUGCUGCCUGGCGCGCACUACUUCUACUUGCGCUCCAGCUGCAUGUGUCACUUCACUUCGGCCAGCUCCUUUGCCAGCGGGCCUUCCACUGCUGGAAGAAGGUCGUCUCCUGCUCCUCGAUCGCGCCCAGCUAGAUGGGCGGCGCGUUAACCCACUCACGCACGAUGCAAAUCCACUGGUACCUCUCCGUGGGGGCGAGUGGUGUCGGCGUGGGCUCUGUGGGCUCGUGCUUGGGCAGCACAGGUGCAGGCAAGCAGUGACGGUGGUGGUGGAGGGUGGACACAGUCCCCCGCCACCGAGAGCUGGAGCGCCUCCUCGAGGCCAGGCCACCGGUAUAAGAUCGCGUUGGAUGACAGAAUACGCCCGAACCGUGCAGUCGGACGAUUGCGGGCUGUUUGAGUGUCGGCGUUGGAGAUGCCCUUAGGCACCCUCUUUUUGUGCCUCCUUUUUAGUAUUCUUUCACGGGAUAAGUUUACAAAUGGUCCCUCAACUCUAAAACUAGCAAAACUUAGUCCUUUAACUUUUUAAAUCGGAUAAGUUUAUUCCCUCGUGCAACUUUGGGUGAUUUUCUGCUGCCCUUUGAGCGGUUUUUGACUUGGAUUGACAAAGUGUAGGCCCCACCACCUCUAUCCAUUUUUUAAACUUUAAUUUCUGUUGUUUAUCCCUCUAACUUACCUAUGGCCCCCACUGUAUGAGCAUCUUCAAUCUCAAACAGCACGCGCCCGGUUUUCAAUUUGAGCCAGCCGGUGCACCCAACGCGACCGAAGCAUAGUCCGUGUGGUCUUAAGAAAAUGAAGCACCCAUAAAAUAUUUAAAUUUAAAACAUAACGAAACAUUAAAAUUUAAAUCCAUGACGGCCAAAGUCCACUUCAAACAUAAUUAAACAUUAAUAAAAAAUAAAAAAAAUUGCCUUCCAGCCGUCCCAGCCCACAGCCCUAGGCAUCGCCCUCAUGGUCGGGGCCGUUCAGGUAGAAGAAGGGCGACGACGGCGGAGCCCUCGGGAAGGCCUACUGGUACUUGGCCAGCGCCUCCUGCUCCGGCGUCUGUUGCGGCGGCUCUGCUGCCUGGCGCGCACUCCUUCUACUUGCGCUCCAGCUGCAUGUGUCACUUCGCUUCGGCCAGCUCCUUUGCCAGCGGGCCUUCCACUGCUCGAAGAAGGUCGUCUCCUGCUCCUCGAUCGCGCCCAGCUAGAUGGGCGGCGCGUUAACCCACUCACGCACGAUGCAAAUCCACUGGUACCUCUCCGUGGGGGCGAGUGGUGCCGGCGUGGGCUCCGUGGGCUCGUGCUUGGGCAGCACAGGUGCAAGCAAGCAGUGACGGUGGUGGUGGAGGGUGGACACAGUCCCCCGCCACCGAGAGCUGGAGCGCCUCCUCGAGGCCAGGCCACCGGUACAAGAUCGCGUUGGAUGACAAAAUACGUCCGGACCGAGCAGUCGGACGAUUGCGGGCUGUUUGAGUGUCGGCGUUGGAGAUGCCCUUAGGCACCCUCUUUUUGUGCCUCCUUUUUAGUAUUCUUUCAUGGGAUAAGUUUACAAAUGGUCCUUCAACUUCAAAACCAGCAAAACUUAGUCCUUUAACUUUUUAAACCGGAUAAGUUUAUUCCCUCGUGCAACUUUGGGUGAUUUUCUGCUGACCUUUGAGCGGUUUUUGACUUGGAUUGACAAAGUGUAGGCCCCAUCACCUCUAUCCAUUUUUUAAACUUUAAUUCCUGUUGUUUAUCCCUCUAACUUACUUAUGGCCCCCACUGUAAAGAGCAUCUUCAAUCUCAAACUGCACACGGUACGUGUGCCGGCACCCUGGAUGUCGGUGCUCUGAAGCUCGCCGAUGACCAAGCCUGGCUCCGGAGAAGUGAUUGCUGGGCGUUGUGAUGAAGUGACGCAUGAACUCGCGGGUGGCGGCAGCGGACGUGCACGUCGGUGCGGGCCGACGGGAUGGCUGUAGGCUGGGUUCCUGAAUCCUGAUGCAGAGAAGGUGCAGGAUGCCGAGGCAUGGCGAGGUCAGCAGGGUUGGGACGGAGUUGUGUGUGCAGCCAGCGGGCGCAGACGCACGCGACAGCUUGGCCUCGGCAUACAUGCGAGCUCGUACAACAGCAAGGGCAGGGCGGAGCUGUGCGUGCGGCCAGCGGGUCGGACACAUGCGGCGGCGGCCUCCACGUCAACCCCGUGGACGGCGCGCUGCGGGAAGCGCCGGAGCGGCCUUACGGAGGUCUCCCAGGACUAGAGCCACCUCGCCGGAGGCCUCCAUGCCCACGCCCUUCUCCUUGAUGAAAUGCGAGUCAAUUAUAUCACUGAUGCUAGAACUUGACGUGAAUGGUCACUAUAGUGCUACAAGUUAUGGUGUAUAUUGAAGUGGUGCAAAAACUUGGCUUUGUGAUACAAAUACGAUGCAAAACUCGUUUUUAUACAUCCUUGGCACUGACNNNNNNNNNNNNNNNNNNNNNNNNNNNNNNNNNNNNNNNNNNNNNNNNNNNNNNNNNNNNNNNNNNNNNNNNNNNNNNNNNNNNNNNNNNNNNNNNNNNNNNNNNNNNNNNNNNNNNNNNNNNNNNNNNNNNNNNNNNNNNNNNNNNNNNNNNNNNNNNNNNNNNNNNNNNNNNNNNNNNNNNNNNNNNNNNNNNNNNNNNNNNNNNNNNNNNNNNNNNNNNNNNNNNNNNNNNNNNNNNNNNNNNNNNNNNNNNNNNNNNNNNNNNNNNNNNNNNNNNNNNNACCGUCGACAUUUGCUGUUGAAGUGGGAUCUGUAAGUUAUACAUUCUUUAGAUUAACAGUGUAAAUUAUUAUUUUGAACACAAAUGAAAAAGGUGUGACCCAAUUGGCGAUUAACCACCAUGCCUGAUGACAUUUAGUGCUCUACAAGAAUAAAUAUUUAUGUAUCAGUUUGGCCUAACAGCACAAAUUAAAACUAUAAACUCGAAUGAAAAAGGUCCAGCGGUGAAACCAGCGACCUGCUAUCCCGAUAGUGCAAACCAACACCCGACAAAGAUUGUUUCUUAUACAUAGGCUAAUUUUACUAAAAACAAAAUACACAUAGACUAAUGGUUCUUUUAUAUUGAGGCCGUCAGAAAAUAUAAUAUUUUACUUAUAAAUGUGCACAUGAUAUUUCAUGAAGCAUAAAUAUUUUGUUUCAUAGAAGUACAUAAACAUUUUCCAAAAGCAUGAAAAAAUAUAUAUUUGACUAAUACUUUAUUAAAACGUAAGUUCAAAGUAUACGAACAUUUAUUUAAAUAUAUUUAACCAAGUUAAAAUAUAUUUAACUAAAUAUUCAUAAAACUUUAAAAAUAUUAAUGUAUUUAUAUAAAGGUUAAAUAUAUUGAAAACAAUAAAUGACAAUAAGUUGUCGCAGCCUCCCAGGAACAAGAAUACUAAUAAAGUUAAAGAUCUGGGAUAGAUGGAAACAGGCUGGCAUCCUGCAUGCAGAUUUUCCUGGCGGCUCUAGUAGUUAAUCUCGAAUUCCUGAAGGUCGCUGGUUUGGUUCGAGCCCCCUGGGUACCUUUUUCAUCUGAUGAGUUACAAAAAUUAAUUUACGCUGUUAGCAAAAGAUAUAAAAAGCACCUAUCACACAUGUGCACAUAAUGUCACAUUUGUCUUAAAAAAACAUAAUGUCACAUUGGCCGUUUUGGUUACGUGCUCGCAUAUUAUCUUUCUAGGUUCGAAGCCCCGUGGUCAUUAUUUUCUCUCAAUGAGACUUGUGUUGUUUCUGACGUGUGGGCCUCCCGGCGUUAUUUUUUUGUGAAAAAAAUAAAAGCUGAGAUCUUUUUAAAAAAGAGCAGGUCACACGCCUGUCCAUCCUGUCACUGACAGCGGCCCCAUGCCAUGCUGACAUGUCUCGUCAGAGCCAUAAACGUAUACAAAUGAGUUUUGCACUGUAUUUGCACCGUGAAGCCAAGUUUUUGCACCACUUCAAUGUACACCAGAACUUGUAGCACUAAAGUGACCAUUCACGUCAAGUUCUAGCACCAAUGAUGUAAUUGACUCAUGAAAUGCCUAGCCAAGUUCGAAUGAUAAGGAACAAGAAGAUCCACCUGGGAUCGCCACAUGGACGUAGACCCGGUCAAAACCACGCAAAGCAACACGAAGGGACUAAAAUUAUCUGGUUUGAGAAAUUGAGCAACUAAGGUUUGCUGGUUUUGAAGUUGAGGGAUCAUUUCUAUACUUUCAAAAUAAUUGAGAGACAAAAAAUAUGUUUUUCCCUUCUUUCAUUCAUAGUGUUAUUCUUUUUCAGAUCGCUGCUAUUUUGCGUGGAAGCUGGCAUGCAUGUAGACCACAAAAAUUGGCAUGCUAUAUAUGCUCCCCAAGGACUUUGAGGAGGGCUACCGGACCAAUGUCAAGAAUCAUUAAGUACACUUUGACUUAUGCAAAUAAGGCAACCAAGUGCUACUAAAGCUUGUACUCCCUCCAUUUUUAUUUACUCUGCAUAUUAUAGUUGACUGAAGUCAUACUUUAUAAGCUUUGACCAAGUUUAUAGAAAACAAUACAAAUGUUUAUCAUAACAAAUUUAUAUGAUGUGGAAGUAUAUUCAAUAAUAAAUCUAAUGUUAUUGAUUUGUUAUUGUAUAUGUCAAUAUCUUUGUUUAUAAACUUUAUCAAAGUUUACAAUGCUUGACUUUGACUAAAGCUACUAUAUAUGCAGACUAAAUAAAAACGGAGGGAGUACGCAACAGUGCCGCACUGCCGCUUGGCAGAUGUGCCGUGGUUAAUCAAAAAUUAUUGAGAUGAAACAUAACAUGUUUACAGAGUCUGGAUCAAGUAGAGAGAUCUGUUGCAAGUUGUUGUUGUGUAAAGCAUUUCUGACUGUAAGAUGAUCAUGAACAACUAUGGUUUUGUUCGUGUGACAAACACAAGGAAGGAGUAGGCCGCUUCUGCUUUCACUACGUCUUGAAUCUUAGCAGGUGAUUGACUGAUUCUUGCAUGAGUCUAUUUGGAUGAAGUGUACAUCUUGCAUUUGACUAUAUUGCUUUUUUCCAACAAAGAUCGUGCUUUAUUUACACUUAACAAAUAUGUGACACGCACAUGAACAGCUAACCUCAAAAGCAGAUUGUUUGAAUUUGACAACCGCCUCCCUAAGCUGCAAGAGGCUCUUUUGUCAUGCUACUCUGAGAGAGCUAUAGUUAACAUUCAUCAAGUCCACAUACCUAGAUUUCACUGAUACUCUUCUCCCUCAUCUCCUUGACUGGCUGUCAUUAAACGAUGCACCAGCUGGAUCCAGCUAAUCGACUUAUCACUUAUUAGUUACCGUCAGAGAAAUAACCAGUGCGGAAGAGUAGGAGGGAUAGGCACGCGAGCUAUGUCAUGUAGCGGUUCUUGUUAUUUGCCGAUCAUCGGUAGUUCCUGGUGCCUCGUAUGCCUACACCUAUCAUUUCGGAUCCCUAGUGUGUAGCUAGUAGCUACCACUGGUAGUUCCUGGAGCUUCAAAUCCGUGGUGUGCAUACAUCAAACAAAUAAUGCACGAAAUGUAAAUGGAUAGGUCCACUAUAAGGAAACGAGAUGAUGAACAAUAUGUACAUGCUUACCUUAGGGAAGCCUCGUUUCUUAUAGAUGACUUGCGUACAUGGUAGUGGUAGUGACAUGAAGUCACUGGUUCUUUGUUUGGUCAAUAACGAAGAUUUCCUUGGUUAUGAGCUUGAUCCUUGGUAGGUAAAAGCCUAUGAGAUUCUAAAACAAAGGCUUGAUUUGUUGUGCUCUUUUCUCCUUUAUAGGUUAGAGACAAUGAGAACUUUAAACAAAACGAUGGAUUUUUCGAGCUUGUUUGUCCUUGGGGCAGGCAGGAGCAUGUGAGAUCUUAAAACAAAAGAUGAAAUUUGCUACGGAUUGUUCUCCUCGGUAGGCCAGAGACAGAGAGAACUUUAAAUUUUCAGGCCAGCGGCACCGUGACCUGCUGCUGCACCCUCUUCUCCGGGUGCCUGUUGCCGGAGUCUGGUGGAUGUAAACUGUAAAACUUGGAAGACACCCUCACUAGAAAUAAACUGCAUAGCAACAUUCAUUAUUAUGUAAAACUGGUACAACAAACCAAUGCUUGUAAACAAAGAAGCAGCGGUACGGUACAGACACCACCGCGACCUGCGCAGACAUCUAUCGCCUGCAGAGAUCGCGGUAACUGACAACACAAAGACCGGCUACAAAUAACUUAGGACACCUCAUGCCCACAUCGACUCUGAUGCACCUCCUUCCUUCCUUGCUGGGGUGCCAAACCCUAUCUAUCUUCCAUGGAUGUCACAUUCGGCAACUUGGUCUGGGGGCACCGACCUUUCGGAGUCUGCAUCAGGGUCCAGGGGGCACCCGGGUAGCGGUAACAUCGGCUCGCCUCUGAGUUAUUGGUCUCUGAAUAGGGUGGAGAGCAGCAAGUCUUGCACAAA
rnacentral:lncRNA from 1 species